AAACCUCGUACUAAUGGUUCGAUAAAACUUUUAUAAUACCAAAACUACCCUCACAAUCAGAGAUUUGAGUUUUCUUUCUCAAAUCCAACGCCUCUCAAAUGAGAGAUUUGGGUUUUCUUCUCAGCUUCUUUGUUUCUGCUCGUGUUGCUUUUUCGAUCUCCUUUUCUUCUUCGUCUCUCAUGAUUCUUCAAUCUCUUCUUCUCGUUCAAAAGACUGAUUAAUUGAUUGAUUUGUGUCGAAAUUGCAAGGUUAUUUUUUGUUUUUUUAGAUUUAUUAUGAACCAUUUUAUUGCUUUUGCUUUCAUUGAAACAAUUCUUAACCGAUUUGCUUAUAAUGCUUUUUUUUUUUUUAAAUAGUCAUUUCUUAUAAUGCUUUAAUUGGGGAUUUUAAAGCAACUUCUAAGGAAAUUGGAUUAUAGUUCAUGUUCUGAUUUUAUUGAUUUACGAUUGGUGGUGGAUUGAAUUAAAUUUAGGGGUUCUGGUGAUUAAUUUGGGUUAGUCAAUUUGAUAGGGUGAGGCUCUCCCAUUACUUAAGCAUUCAUGAUGUAAUCUGUAAAGGAGAUAAUCUUUUCCAUAUUCUUCCUAAAGAGUACACAUUCAGAGUGAUCAUUGGGAAGAUGGGUUCAAGUCCUCAUUCUUACUCAUGUGUUCAUUUUUAGUCAUUUAUGUUGAAUAAUGCCAAUAAGAGAAAGUGGCUGAGUUUUGAAGAGUUUGCACUGUAAAUUAGACAUGGUUUUCAGAAUGGUUCUUGUGGAUAAUUGAAUACUUUGAGAUGGUGGUGGAAUAUUGAUAGACUGUAUAUUCAGCUAGAUUUAGAUCAUUCAUUAAUAAAGGUGCAUGGCUGCUAUCGACGUAACCUGGUCGACCCAUGAGUCUGAAGAAGAAGGCCUUCCUGACCUGAAAUAAACUUCAUGUUUGAGAAAACAGUCCAAAUACAUUCAUUUAGUACACAAAAAACACUUGAAUUGCGAGAAACAAAUUAAUUUUCACUUACCAUUUUUGUAUUCCUGGGAAAUUAAUUAUAUAUAUGUCAAAUAACUUAAAUAGUUAAAUAUGUAAGCUGAACCUUAAUUUGUACAAACCUGCUCAUGCUUAUGACUUCAGAGCCUCUAGAAACUGCUAUUUUGCAUAUAGCAGAAUCGACAAAACCAUUUCCUCCUAAAACUACAACCUACAAAGAAUAUAUGGCAAACCAAAAUGAUAGAUAGAGAUUAAUAAGCUUUUAAUACAUAUACCCACUCAAUUUUGACAUCGGGCGACAAUAUUAAUUGGAGGAGUUGUAAAUUUAUUUGUUUAUUCACGUCACCAUAACUAUUUUGUUUCGUCCAAGGUGGAGAGGUGGAUCCCUUUAUUAAACAAGUAGCUUGCUUGUUUCUGUUGGAUUGGGGAUGGUGGGAGGGGAUGAAGCUACAGCUACACUUGUCUGGACACAUUGCGUAUAGUGCCUUGUUGGUACGCAAUGACAAAAAAAGAAAUAUUAGUUCACUUAAUAGUACUUUGAGAAUAUUUUCAUUACCUAAGCACUCUAUUCUGUUCAACUGGAGGUUUGUCAGAUGUAUAUGACUAAAACGUGUUUCAUUCUUGUUGUAAAAUUCACAGAUUGAUUCGGAUAUGGAAGAUCAUGCUUGAUUGCCAUCAUGCUUAGUGUGUAACAAAGAUUCAACCAUGUCCCGCAAAGAAUCGCAAAAGCAGGCUAUUAUUGCUCAACUUCAGCAUGAGAUUGAAUUCUUUGGGUCAAGCUUCAAAGAUUGGAAUGAUGCGCACAGAUCCUAUGUUGAAGCACUUGAUGGUUGGCAGCUGGUUGCGUCAAAUUACAAGACUACUAAACUUUGAGGAGUGGUGUAAUUAAUUUUGUUAAAAUCAUCUGUGAUGAGGUUGAGAUAUAUAUUUGUCAAAAUUAUGCUUUGUGGGAAUCACAUUCUUAUUACAAAUGAGUAGGCUCUUUGUUUUUUGUUUUUUUUUUAUAGACUCACCACAUAGAUCAAACAGGAAAUACCAGUAGCUCAUUAGAAAUUUGUAAAUCUUUUGAUAAAUAACAGCUGCUAAUUUCGUAUGUAUUAAGGCGUUUUUGCACAAUGCAUGGAUCUCUAUCUUUCGAUAUAUUAUGUCAGACUGAAUUUUCAGCUCAGAGACGCAUAGGCAGGCAAUUUUGAUAACAAAAUUAGCUUAUGUAUCCAUCCAAAAUUAGCUUGUUUGACCAGCUGGUUUACAAAGUGAAAAUUGUAUUUUGUAUUGGACACGCACUUGUACAUUUUUACUGUGUUGACUACCAAAGUGGAGUUGCAAGUUGCAACAUGUAUAAGCUCAUUUGGUUGUAGGUCUCGAUGAGUUUAUUGUUGAGUUGAUUAAUAUACUAAUCAACUAGUAUUUUACUUGAUUAAUAUACUAAUCAACUACAUAUAUAUAAAAAAAUAUAAUUUUUUUAAUUAAUUAAUGUACUAAUCAACUAGUGUUUUAGUUGAUUAAUACUAUACUAAUCAAGUAAACCGAAAAGAAAAUAUAAUUUUUUAUUAAUAUAAUAAUCAAGUAUUGUUGAGUUGAUUAAUUUACUAAUCAACUAUACUAUAAAGAAAAUAUAAAUUUCUUAGUCGAUUGAUUAAUAUGAUAAUCAACUAUUUGUUUGAGUGUUAUUGUUUGAGUUGAUUAAUUUAUUAUUAAUUAACUUUUAUUUGAGUUCGUUAAUUUAAUAAUCAACUAUUGUUGAGUUGAUUAAUAUACUAAUCAACUAUGUAUUGUUUUAGUGUUGAUUAAUAUACUAAUCAACUAAACUAUUAUAAAACUUGGUUACUAACACACGUGCACAAUAACAAACAAAACACUUGAUUAAUAUUAUGAUCAACUUCUUAAUUAUCAUGUUAAAUAAAGAAAUUUUAAACAAUGGAUACACAUGUUUAGCAAUAUAAUUCAAAAAUGUUGAACUUGUAAAUCAAUAGUUCGAUUCAUGGGUUAAUUAUCUUGCUAAUCUACUACCAAAAAAAUACUUGAUAUCCAACACAAAUAAAUUGUAACACUGAACAUGUGUACCAAUUAACAAAGGGUAAUAUCCCCAAAAAACUCCAUGUUUAGGUGCCUCUUCCCCAAUAGGCCCUGACAUGGGGUCAUCUUCUCAAACAAGCCCUUUGACUAGAUCAUAUUUUUCAGUAGGUCAAAAUUACCCUUGUAUUCUAUCUUCUAAUCUCAACCUUUUAUCUUCUAAAACCAGGAUAAGACAAAAAACAGAAAAGGACAAAAAAACAGUUGGUGUAUAACUUUUUGGUUUUAACAUUUGAAAAUAUUAUAAGUUGUGUUUUAGAAAUCGAAAAUCAACAUAGUUUAUAUGGUUGGAAAGGUCUCGACGAGAUCUUUCAAACUAGAUCCCACAUGACUAUAAAAUUUUAAAUUUAAAAAUUUAAUUUUUUUAUAAAAAUUUAAAUAUUUAUAAAAAAUUCAAAAUUUCAUAUUUUUUUUUUACUGAGAAGUUGGGUUUCGAGAAAAAACUCCUUAUGAUUUCAAAGGCUUUUCAAAAUUACUCUAAAAAUUUAAAAAAAUCACACAUUACUAUCAAAUUCAGGAGUUUUUAUUUUUGUCCUCUAACAUAUAUCUUCUUGUCUUCUAACACCAAAGAAAUAUCCUCUAAAUUGUUGUUUGUUGUUAUGUAAAUUACAAAGGCAUGAUAUCCAUUCCAUAUUAUUAAUAUAUGUGAAUUAUAGUCUGUAAUUUGAUGCAUGAGUUCGAUGUCUCAAUUGAGGACAAAAUCCUUAUAGUACAGAAAAAAAAAAGAAAAAAAAAUUGUAUUGCUAUGAAAAGUUCAUAAAAAUGUUUAAUGUAUAGUUAACUUCACAAAAAACUUCAUAAAAGAACAUAACCCAGGGUGUGUUUGAUUGGUGGGAAUAACUACUUGUGGGAAUUUUUAUAGUUGAAAAUAUUCCCACAUAAAAUAAUUCCCACUAAUGGGUCGUUUGAUUGGACAUAAAAACACAAGGAAAAUUUUAUGUGGGAAAGAUUUUAGUUAUUUGAUUAGACAUAAAAACAUGAGGAAAAUUUUAUGUGGGAAAGAUUUUAGUUGUUUGAUUAGACAAAAAAAUAUUCCCUUAUAAGUUUGGGAGUUUUUUUUAGGGGUGGGUCAAGGAAAGAUUCAUGAGAAAUAUUUUUAUCAUGGAAUUUUUACAUGACCCAACUUUACCAAUCAAACAGGCAUCUAGGAAUUUUUGGGGUAAUGUUUGAUGUGGGAAUUUUUCCCACGACCAAUCAAACAGACCCCCAGUCUAUAUAUUGUUUUUUAGGUUACAUCUCAAACCAUAAGAAAAAAGAAAAAGAACAUAAUCCAGACUAAACAUAAAUUCCUCCUUUUGCAUGGUGUAAUGUCAAUAAGCUCGUUAAAUUUGUACUCCAUUCUCCCUUCUUAUGCCUCACACCAAAACAAUAUAAUAGCUCAAAUCUCUAAUCAUUAUUUUAUUUUAUUUUUUGGCAAACGGGGUUGAGGGCACCCCUUACCCCUUUAAAUUACAUGAGGAAACUUAUAUCAAACAAUCAGUUUACUAGCAUGUUUUGAACCAACGAUCUCUCCACUUUGUGAGAUGGAUGCAACCAUUGAGCCACAGACUCGAGUGCUCUCUAACCAUCAUUGAAACUAAUAGUCUCUCUUUAUUUAAACACUCAUGUCUUCUUGUUUUCAACAAAAUCCAAGUAAUACAUAUAAAACCAUGACCAAUAUACUUUGAUAACUAGCUUUAAUCCACCUUUCAAAACUUUUCAAUAUAUAAUAUAAUUUAAUAAAGAUACUUUAGCAUUAAGGGGUGACAUUAGCUUUAGGGAUUUGUUGACCAGGUGGGCAUAUAUAUGCUCUACAGGAACAGUGGUAACUCAGUUGUAUUGGACAUUUGGGGAUGUUUGUGCCCCCCUGUUUCUUUCUUUUCUCUUCUCUGUCUUUGAGUGGCCUGUUAUGCUCAGGAGUUAGGUGUAGAGAGUUGUUUUGGUUUUUUACCUGACGGUGUACAGUCUUUGUACAUGCUGAUCAGGCGAUGUAUAUCCUACCUUUGGGUGUGAAUAUAAUGUUGUUUGAUUCAGAAAGAGAAGAAGAGACAUACUUUUUAUCAAAAAAAAUAUUGUAAUUUAAUAAAUUUGCAUGUUAAGUUGAUACAAUAGCUUGUUUAGAGGAUAAAGGUAUAUUGUUUAGAGAACAACAAUCAAUGUUUUAGCGGAUAAGAUCCUUACAGUAUAUAGAGAGAAAAUUAUCGAAAAAAUAAAAAACACAUUUUUUUUUUCUUUUUUUUUCAUACCCAUGUGGGAUCUUGUUAAAUAGAUCUCGUCGAGAUCUUUUCAACCAUAUACAUCAUAUUGAUUUUUACUUUCUUAAUUAAAAGAUAUACAAGUUAUAAAUAAUAUAACAAAAAAUAUUAAUUAAUAUUAAAAAAUUUGUUUUUGUCUUUUCUUAUUUGUCUUAUUCUGGUUUUUUUCUUUUGUUUUUAGUAUGAAGGGUAUAAUGGUCUCACAAAAAUUGCUAAAAGGUAAUGUGGUGGGUCAGGGGGCUUGUUUGAGAAAAUAGCCCCAUGUCAGGGCCUAUUGGGGAAGAGGCACCUAAACAUGGGGCUUUUUGGGGAUAUAACAAUAGCAAGAGGUUUAUUCGAAUCGAAAUUGAACCCAUAAAUUCGAAAAAAUUCUUAUUACAACUUCUUCUUCAAUUGAACAUCAUUAUUUUCAACCAAAAUCCUAAAUUAUAUCUAAAGGUGUCAUUAUUUUCUUCUUCAUAAGUUCUUCUUCACUACUUUUUUUUUUCAACUCUCUUGUUCUUCUGCUCAAAAUUUAUGUUAUUAGAUCUAAGAUUUAUUGGUUUAAAGAGAUUGGUGUUGUGCGCAGCGGAAGCUUAUGCACCAAUACCCAAGAUUGAAAUAGUGUAUGAAAGAUGACAAAGCAAGUAGUAAAGAAGUAAAUCUACUUAGCAACAACAAAUAAUAGAGAGAGACACCAAAAUAACGUGGUUCAGCUUGAUUGCCUACGUCCACGGACAAACAAAUAGAACUUUUACUAUUGGAGAAGAUAGUACAAAGCUCUCAAACAAAUGGAGAAACCCUAGGUUUCCUCCUUUCUCAAAUCCUCACCAAAUCUCUCAAAGAGACAAUCACAAAUUGAGGAUACAAACUCUCUCUCUUGGAUGGAGACGAUUAUACAAGCCCUCACGAAGAAACCAAAGUGUUCUUCCUCACAAAAGUUCUCUCAAACUUGCCAAUGGCUUCUCACAAUCUCUCUCACAUCCCAAUUAGGUUUUCCAACCUCUCAUUGGCUUUAUAACAGAGCCUUACAAUCAAACACGAAAUGGGCUUAAACAGGCCCAUAUGCACAAAAUCAAGGGAGGACGUACGUACGUCAUAUUGACGUUCGUACGUUCAGCUUCAAAACAAACAUCUGUGAUAUGGGACGUACGUACAUCUGUGAUAUGGGACGUACGUACGCCCUAACUACGUACGUACGUUCCCAGACAAAAAAAAAACUUCCCACCGUCCAAAGAAACCCAACAAUUGGAAAGAGAUCAAACAUAGAUCGAGUGAAAUCAAAGGUAAAAGAAAGUUGUUUGGUUGAAAGGGAGAGAUUUCAACAACCAAAUCACUACUGAGGAGGUUAAGGAGAUUUGUAUUGAUUUUGGGGGUGCCAUCAAUUUGUUGAAGAAAUGAUGAUAGUUUGGAAAAGUAUUGAUGGCGCGAAAAGUUGCAUCAAGAGGAGUGAUGAAUGUGUUAUUGCUGAUUGUGAUUGCUCGAAGACUAUGAAAAUUCUUGCAGCGGAGAAAAGUUCGAGUUGGAAGUGAAUGAAGUUCAAGAUCAGAGGAGGAGAGGAGUGUGAUGUGGAAGGCAGGAAUGAGAUCGGAGAAGAAGAACAACUAAGCGAGACAGAAGGAGAUCUUAGAAGAAGAGAGAGACUCAUCGGGGAAGAAAAAAUAAUUGCAUUGUGUUUGUUGAUGAGUUCGGAGGGUAUUUUCGUUAAUGUACAAGAUUGGCCUAAGGCCUAACUAAACGUUUACUUUGUCCUUGGACCUAAUGAAACUAUAAAUCUUGUCCUUAGGCCCAAAAUGCUGUUUUUUUUUUUUAAUUUUUCCCUUUUCUCUCAGAAAUUGGAUCUCGCUCUGUUUCUCCUUGUUUAGGGUUUCUCGACAGUUUUCUAGGGUUUAACCUAGUAACAAGUGAUAACUACUUUCUUUCUCUCUCUCUCUCUCUUCUUCUUCUUCGUUCGUUCUGUUUCUCUGGUUCGUUUCACAAUCGAAUCGAACCAUGGGAGUUCCAGCGUUCUAUAGAUGGUUAGCAGAUAAGUAUCCAAUGGUUGUUGUUGAUGUAAUUGAAGAAGAAGCUGUUGAGAUUGAUGGAAUUUCAAUUCCAGUUGAUACAAGUAAACCUAAUCCAAAUAAAAUUGAAUACGAUAAUCUUUAUCUUGAUAUGAAUGGAAUCAUUCAUCCUUGUUUUCAUCCCGAAGACCGCGUAAGUCUUUUCUUUCUUUCUUUCUCUCUCAAUUUCUUUUUCUUUAAACUACAUGAAUUUUAAGUUAAUUUGCUUUAAUUGAUUUCUUUUUCAGCCUUCUCCAACUACUUUUGAUGAGGUGUUUCAGUGUAUGUUUGAUUAUAUUGAUAGAUUAUUUGUGAUGGUUCGACCUCGAAAGCUUCUGUUUAUGGCUAUUGGUAAUUAAUUAAUUUGAAUACUGAUUACUUAUUACUUAAAAAGGUAAUAUUUGAAAAUAGUUUUAAUUGAAAAAAGUGAUUGGAAAUUAUUGUAGAUGGUGUUGCUCCAAGGGCUAAAAUGAACCAGCAACGUUCUAGACGAUUCAGAGCAGCUAAAGACGCUGCUGAAGCGGUAUGUGGUUUAUUCUCUUUUGAUUUUUAGUUUCAGCUCUACUUUCAAAAUGAUAUGUAAAAAUUAAGAUUGAUACGUAAUGUACACCAACCUUUUCGACUUGACUGUGUUCAAUGUUCAAAAAAUGGUGCAGAGUAAAUUUAUUUUCUGAAUUUGGAAAACAAUGUUCUUUGCUGUUUGUUACUGAAAGGAAAUGAAUAAUAUUGAGAUAAAUUAAGUGUUAAACAGAAGGGGUAAAACACAAAUAGUAUUAUAUUGGAAAUUUUAUUUAUUAUCAUUAUUAUCUAAGUGUUUUAAAGCAUUAUGUACUGUGUUCUGCCUUGUUCCAUCAGUAGACUUGCCAAAUGCAUCAAUCAAUAUGAAGUUCUUCAGAGUAUUUGGUAUUGGUAUUUAUAAACAGUUGGAAAAUGAUGAUGCACGUAUUCAAGUAUCUAUGUAGUGUUUUAGGUCCGAGUUGCUCUCUUUUGGAUCUGAAGUGAGAAUCAAGAGGGGUCAUUACCUUUAUUCAUGAAAGGACAAUAAUGGAUAGUGUGCCUUUGAAGUUUGAACCCUUCAAAUCAAGGAUAAGAAUCCCCCCUCUUAUUUGGUUGGAAUGCCAUGUAACAGAAAUAGUUCUUGACAGCGCCGAAAAAAUUGUAUUCAUUUAGGAUGUUAAGUCGCGAAUAUAACAGCAUGGAUGUGAGUCAUGAAAUUUUACAUUAAAUCAAACUCUCUACGAUUUCAUAUUAAAUUCUUCUCCAUUUAUGGUUAUAUUGAAAGGAACUUCUGCAAUUGUUCUUUUGUCCACUUAUAAGUGGUUUUGAACUGUGAAUAUUCCGUGUGCAGGCAGCAGAAGAAGAUAGGUUGCGAGAAGAGUUUGAGAAUGAGGGAAGAAAGCUUCCUCCAAAACAGGAUUCACAAGUUUGCGAUUCUAAUGUAAUAACUCCUGGAACUGAAUUUAUGGCUGUAUUGUCUAUUGCGUUGCAAUACUACAUUCAUCUCAGAUUAAAUAAUGACCCUGGGUGGAGAUCCAUUAAGGUAAUCUUCUUGCAGAGUUCUUGGAUUAGUCUAUUUUCUUUUUAUUGAGCUUAUUUCGUUAAUGCUUUUACCUUUCCUUCACAUCUGCAAUAAUUUUUAACUCGGUUCGUUUCGGUGUCCCUAAAUAAUAUAAUAAUUUCUUAGGUUAUCCUUUCUGAUGCAAAUGUUCCUGGGGAAGGGGAACACAAAAUCAUGUCAUACAUCCGUCUUCAGCGAAACCUUCCUGGUUUUGAUCCAAAUACACGUCAUUGCCUGUAUGGUUUGGUAUGUUAUUCUUUGAUUUUAGUUAUAUGAAUAUGUGAUUGCUUGCUUCCCAUUAAAUGCAUUUGCCCUUCAUUUGAUUGGACCUAAUUAUCUUCGUCAUCAAUUGUUUAUUACAGGAUGCAGACUUAAUCAUGUUAGGUUUGGCUACUCACGAAGUUCAUUUUUCAAUUUUAAGAGAGGUCAGUAUGCUCCCAAUGCUGUUGAUAUCUUCUAUUCCGUGUAGUUAAUUGGACUUGGAAUAUUUUCUUAACGUUGGAGGUUUAAUGGUGUUCAUUGGUAAAACUACUGGAACAGUACAAAGCUUUCUCCUUUAAAGAAGCGGUGUUGAAGCUUUUUCUUGAUGCAUUUUCGUGGAGUUUGUUUAGUAUAAAGAAUUAUAAGUUUAGCGGAAGUACUUGUAGUGUCAAGUCCACUUCUUGGGGGUGUUCUAUAUGUGUUGAAGUACUUGUUAUGUUAACUCCACUAUUUGGGUGUGCUCUAUUAGAUCCUCUUGUGAGAGAGGUUUAUGCUCCAAGGACUUCAUACUUGGGGUGGCGAUUCUUCCCAUGAUGGCUUGCAUUGUGAAUUCUCCCUUCACACUGUCUACAACUCUACUAAUUGGAUUAUUUGUCUCUGACUAAUAACAUAUAGGAAUUUGAUCAUUAAAAUCUGUUAGAUGGUAUGUUGUUAUAAAUGUCUGCAAUGAACAUCAAAUAAAUGCUAUGCGGUAUUUUGUUUUUAAACACAGAGAAUAUUUCUCAGGUGUUGUAGAUAUUGACAUAUUGAUAUGUUUAGUAUCGGAGCUUUAGCUGGAUACCAGUUUGGUGUUGGCAUAUUUUAUUUUGCCACCACCAGGUUUCGCUUUUUAGUUUCGUUAGUGAGUAUCUGUAAGGUGGCUGAUAUUUUCUGCACAUAUAAUGAUACCUUGGCACCUUGCAGGUUGUUUUUACUGCUCAACAAGACAAAUGCUUUCUAUGUGGCCAAGUAGGCCACUUAGCUGCAAAUUGUGAAGGAAAAGCAAAAAGAAAGUUUGGCCAGUUUGAUGAGAAAGCUGAAGGUGCUCCUUUGGAGAGAAAGCCUUAUCAGGUUGGUCGUAAUCCCUACCUAGCUUGGAAGACUCCGUAUAAGUGUUAUUUUAAUGUUUGUUUUCUAUCGAAUGGUUGGCCUCUGGCUUAUCUAACUUCUAAAUGAUUUGCAGUUUUUGAACAUUUGGACACUACGAGAGUACUUGGAAUAUGAGAUGAGAAUUCCUAAUGUUCCCUUCGAGAUUGAUUUUGAACGAAUCGUAGACGAUUUCAUCUUUAUGUGUUUCUUUGUUGGUAAUGAUUUUUUGCCACAUAUGCCAACACUCGAAAUUAGAGAGGUUUGUCACAAACUUGCAAUUUUUCUUAUUUAUGACCUUAUGACUUUUCAGUGGAUUUGACUUAUCAUUUGAUGAAAUUUAUUGGAUGACUAUUUCUUACAGAAAUAUUGAUGAUGGGAUAUUAUGUUAUAUAAUAAAGGGGGAUUUAGAGAUACCCCCCAAAAUAAUAGGAACUCUCUGAGAUAUCCCCCAGAUUUAGAAACUCUUAGAGAUACCCCCCAUUUUUCCAUUUGAAGCCGGUCAACCAAGCCGUUGACCAUGGUCUGACCAGUCUUCAUAAUUUUUAGACAAUUUUACCCUCCCACCAUUUAAACCCACAUCCUAGUCAUUUUGCCCAGUCAUCAAUAAUGCCAUGUCAGCAAACAAAACUUUCAUUAGAGAUACCCCCCAAAAUACAAGUUUCAUUUGAGAUACCCCCAAAUUGCAGAGAAAGGUAAUUUGGGGAAGAUGAUGAAAGAUGAUGAACCAAAUCUCAAAAAAUACUAAAAUACACAGUACAAAACCACUAAAUACUAUAAUUUACCUUCAUAUCAACGUUUCAACUAGGUAGAUCUAGUAAAACUACUAAAAAUUGAAGUAUUUAUUGGUUCUUUUAGAUCGAGUAAUGGAGUGUCAUUCUUUCACCAGAUCUAGUAAUGGAGUAAUAAAUGAGAGAUGAUAAUGGCUAGAUCUGUUAAUGAAGAAGGAAGAAAAAUGAAGGUGAAAGAAGAAUGGUUUGAUGAAGAAGAAGCAAGAUAGAUAGGUAGAUAGGAUGGAGAAGAAGGAAGAAAGAAAAGAAAUGAUGGUGAAGAAGAAAAAGUGAGAUGGAGUUUGAUGAUGGUGAAGAAGAAAAGAGGAGGAAGAAGAAGGAGGAGGAAGAAGAAGGUGGAGUUUGAUGAUGUAACGGUAGAUAGGAUUAGAUAUAGAUCUAGAUCUAUUUUGAACGGUUAGGAUAAGAAGUGGUAGUUGUAAGUGGGUUUGCUGACAUGGCAUUAUUGAUGACUGGGCAAAAUGACUAGGAUGUGGGUUUAAAUGGUGGGAGGGUAAAAUUGUCUAAAAAUUAUGAAGACUGGUCAGACCAUGGUCAACGGCUUGGUUGACCAGCUUCAAAUGAAAAAAUGGGGGGUAUCUCUAAGAGUUUCUAAAUCUGGGGGGUAUCUCAAAGAGUUCCUAUUAUUUUGGGGGGUAUCUCUAAAUCCCCCUAUAAUAAAACAAAUUGUCAAAAGAACAAGUCUACAUAAUUUUAAGCUUUAAGCACUUCAGAUUUUUUUUUUUUCUUAAAAUUAAAAAUGAUAACUUAAUUAAGAGAGAUAUAUAUAGGAGGAGCAUUGUCAGGGGUCAAGAGUUGCUAAAGAAAGAAACUAAGUAGAUUGUGGGAGAUGGGAAACCAAGAAAGUUCUGGAAAAAGUAGAAUUACCAACUUUUACACGAAUUUUCAAGUUGAUGAGAUUGGUUGAGUGGUCUCAGUUGGAGAUGGGAUUGUGGGUGUUUCAUGGCAAGACUACCUAUGAUGCAAGGAAUAAUGGACUUAUGGACUUACAUCAUGAUACUAUUGCAGGGGUGAUGAGUAGGGUUCUGAGAUUUGAUGGCCCAACAAUUGCCCUAUCCAGACCACUGCACAAAUACAACGUUAUAGAUUACAUCAGUGGAAUCUCAAAGUUAUAGACUUGAGGCUUCUCCAGAAAUCAUCAAAUAUAAUAAUUCUCAUGGUAGGAAGGAAGAUUACCCUAUCCUAACUGUAGCCUUAACCGAGUUGAGAACUUGAUCAUGCUUCUGCCAUGUAAUAGGACCUUCUAGCCAAAAGCAGGUAUCAUGUUAUAAAUCUACGGAAUCUGUGAAGGAAAAAGUGGUAAUAAGAGCAUUCCUCUAGAAAUCUAGGUAGUCAAAAGCACCAUCCUGGCACCGAAGGCGCAGAGCCUGCAUGCCUUAUGUGUUACCUCGCCUCGCCUUGCCUUGCAUGACAUCAUCUCCUGUGUGAUACCUUGCUAUAUGUAGAGGUUAUAUCCUUCAUAGUUAGGUUGUGAAUGAUUAGUAAAAGUGUAUUCACAGAAUGUUAUUGUUCGACUUAGUUUCAUCUUCAGUUUCUCGUGUUUCAAAAUUUUCCAGUCUUUCAAAACUUCUGAUUUGUUAUAGGAAAAGAAAAUAGUUAAAAUUUUUCAUUUUCUGAAAUUUAUACUUGACAAACUGGUCUCUUUGAAAGGCCUAGAUUUUCAGGUAUUAAUAUUAUUAUAUAAUGAUUUGCGGAAGGGUGCGCCAAUAGCUAAUCGACUAGUUUGACAUGAGUAAUAAAUAAUAAUUGGACCUUGGACCAGUUAUCUAUGAUCAAAUUAUGGCAGUUUGAAAUAUUAUUAUUGUUUCUGGAGAGAAUUAUUAUUAUCAAGGUAGUGCAUAAGUUAUUUCACUGCCACACCUACAAUCCCUCUCUAGCAUAAACAUGCUGCUCUCGCCUCAUUUUUUGUUUGGCCAAUCCAAUCCUCUGUAUGUGUGUUAUAACAGAAUGAUAUUAAUGAGGGGGUGAAAGAAUCGUACCCUCAUAAUUUAUCAGAGUUUACUCGAUGAAUUCCUAGCAAUCCUAGCAAUCCUGAAUUUUUUUUCUAUUCAUCUGUUCCAAGAAUCGAAGAUAUUAUAUUGUUGUAGAGAUUUAUGCACUUUAGUAUGUCCUGCCAUCUCUUGAAAUUUCCAAUUAAAGGGUAUAAUCUUUUGAGAUUUGAUCUAAAGUUAUCCUAUUAUGUUUUAUGUUUAGGGUGCUAUCAAUUUGUUAGUUGCUGUGUAUAAGAAAGAGUUUGCUGCAAUGGGUGGAUACUUGACUGAUUCAAGCAAGGUAAUUGAUUCUCAUAAUUGCAACUGACAGUAUACCUUUAUGAAUUUGAUUUUUGACGUAAUUGCUUGAAUCGUAGUUGCUAACAUGAUUUUGUUUUUCAAGCCAAACUUGAGCAGAGUUGAGCAUUUCAUCCAGGCAGUUGGUAGUUAUGAAGAUCGAAUUUUUCAGAAAAGAACUCGAUUACAUCAGGUUAGCUUGGACUCCUAGAUGGUUCCUGUUCAUUGCAGUAUUUGAUUUAAUGUGUAAGAUGAAUCCAAUUCGUAUUGUAUUAGAAGUUCUAUUAGAAGGUAAAAUAUUCAAAUGUAUCUUGGAUCAAGAUGGCCAUGAUAUCUGGAUUAUGACCAAUCUUAACAUCCUUUUCUAUUGAUAAUCUUGCUCCUCCAUUGCUCAAACCCUUCAUGAUAGGUGAGAAAUCGUUUCUCCUCCAGGAGCAGAAUUUUUUUAACAUCACUUUCUUUUUUCUGUGGAGUUGGUCCCUUUACAGAAACUUUUUUUCCUUUAUGUUUUUGUGAGCCACCUACAAAGGCCUUCUUUCGAUCUUAGUAACCUUUGCGUUGAGAAAACUAUACUUGUCCUUAAAAGUUAAAACAAUAAAUGUGUGUACUAGUCCAAAGAAAGUUGAAAUGGUUUAGCAACCCAGAUGAUCCGAGGACAAGAAAGGCCGAAAUCAAUUCUAUAUGCCUGUUGUUGGAUAUUUUCCUUAUAUUGAAAGCUAACUCUUUGCAAUAUUUUUCAGCGGCAAGCAGAAAGAAUCAAGCGAGAAAAAUCUCAGAAAAAAAGGGGGAGGGGAGAUGACAUUGAACCUCAGUUCAAACCAGAGUCUUUGGUUCCAGUUGCUGGUUACAGUGGUUCUCGUCUUGCUUCUGCUCCAUUACCGUCACCAUUUCAACCAAGCUUUAAAGUUAGGAAAGAAAAUGAGGUUGGAACAUCCAAGGGAGGAGGGUAUAAUACACCGGCCAAAAAAGUAGCACGUACUUCAGGGGCUUCAGUAGGUGCUGCUAUUGUUGAGGCCGAAAACAGUCUUGAAGAAGAAGUAUGCUUUCCUUAUCUUUUGUUAAUAUUAUUAUAUUAUUAUCAUCAAUAGUAAAACUAAAAGUAUUAUUACUACUUAAAGUUAGUAAGUUACUUGCUAUAUUAUCAUCUCUAUCUUGAGGAAAUUCUAGUUUCAGUUAGUCUUGCUUUAGCAACAUCUUUCAAUAACCUAUUAUUUCUAAAGAAAUUCAACUAAAAUAUAUGCAAAGGCAUACCCGGUUAAACUUGAUUUUUAUGUGAUACUUAUAAGUUGUCUUCCUUUGUUUUAGGCACGUGAGAACAAAGAGGAAAUGAAAACAAAGUUGAAGGAUUUGAUUCGCGAGAAGUCAGACCUCUUUAACUCAGAUAACCCAGAAGAAGACAAGGUUAGAAUUUUUUUGUUAGCAUGCUUAUUUCUCCACUUUUAUAUGGUACAGUAAUUGCAGUGACCCCAUCCUUGAAUCUUAAUUUCCCGUUUUAUUACCAUUCAAAUAUAAAAAAGUAAAAUAAAAUUUCAAAAAUAUUUUAUCUAUUUGCUGAGCAGAAUUUGUGUCCUCAGGUCAAAUUGGGAGAUCCUGGUUGGAAAGAAAGGUACUAUGAGGAGAAGUUCUCUGCGAAAUCUCUCGAUGAAAUUGAAGCAAUAAGAAAAGAUGUUGUAAGUAUAAUUCCUUUUUGGAAGCCUUCCUUGUAUUCUACUUGUUUUUUAUUUGCCCAUUUGGGCAUUUGCGUUCGUUUUUUAAAAACGGAAGUGUGUUGAAGUACUUUUUUUUUUUUGAGAGGUAAACGAGCAUAAUAUAUUCAUAUCAAAAAGUUGAUUACAAACAAAGCCAAGGGAUGAGAUAUCCCUGGUCAAGGAAACAAAAACAAAACACAGAAGAACAAACAACAAAAACUAUAAGAAACUCUACAUCAAGGGCCACUUAGAACAUUCUCCCAAGAGUAAGCAAAAGAAGCAUAAGGAAUCUCUCCAUAAUCAUGCCAUCUCUUGCACCAAAGGAAUAUGACUAUAUGAGUCCUUUGAUGUCAAGGAUGGUGCGAUCCAUAAGGAUGUUGAAGUACUAACUCAUGAUUAACAUGACAAGGAGUCCAAGACUAAGUCAAUAGUUCUUCUGUGUGACACUGACACCUCUGGAAACUCGAGUUAAAAUUUUUUAUUUUUUCUUUCAAAGAAAAAUAGGUUUUGGACCUGGCUGAUUUUAUUUUUCGGAGUCCCUUGCCUUUUCUCUUAAUUUAUUUAAUUAAUAAAUAAAACUUAUUAAGAAAAGAUGAAUAGUUUACAGAGAUGUAUGUAAAGAUCCAUAAUGAGGGAAGGUGUCAAACAAAAAAAUAUAACAGAAGAUGAUAACACUGCUACAAUGAAAAAUUCUAAACAUUGAAUUUCGUAUUGGUCAUAUAUUGACAUUCUUCCCUACAUCCAAGUUCUCAUGGAUGUGCCAAAUUGGAAGAAAUUGUGCAACAAACCUACAAUAUAGAACCAUGAGACGGUGGGGGACGGACUUUAGAAGAGGAAUCAGAGAGAGGAGCCAAGAAGUGUGAAAGAGAGAUCACAGAGAGAGGAGAUGAGAAGAAGAAGAUAGAAGAAAGAAGAGGGACGAACAGGAGAGCGAGAAGAAGGAGAAUUGGAGAAGAGAUUUUUUUUGUCUUUUUUUUUUGUGAAAGUGGACGGACAGACACUGUUUUUCUUCCCACCCGAAGUAUAAUGGACCUGACACUUGGUUUGGCUAUAUUGCCUCCUCCAGGGAAGACAAUAAUUGAGAUAUUAUUAUUGUACUAUAAGUUACUGAUACCCUGAAGUAGCUCAGCACUCUCCCUCAGUGGCUCAACAGUUAACACACAUUAAGUGCCGACUCCCUAAGUUGUAGAAGAGUCUCCUACAUUGCAAGGGGGCCAUUUGCCUUAUUUUGUUGGGUGCACUUGGAUGGAAAUAUUUAUUCAGGUGAUGAUUUUUUCUUCAUACUUGUAAGUCAAAAUCUCAUGACACGAGAAAGGGUUGUAACCCAUAAUUAUAUAAAUACUAUAUGAUGUCCAUUAUCGCUGCUUAACAUAUUUUCUUAACAAGAAAUUUUAGAGGGCUCAAACUUAUGCUAGCUAGGCUGUGAACAACUAAGGGGUAGAAGCAAUCCAAACCGCCUUAUACCCUCACAAUAGAAAUGCUUAACAAAAUGAAAAAUGAUGCCCAUAGGAAAUGAAGCCACCCAUCUUUUUUUUAUUUCUUUGGCCCAUCUUCUUUGAUCUCCGCUACUGCCACCAACACCGUCCACAAUCCUCCAUGCCAUCCGAGGUACGGAUGCUGGGGCUGGGUGUGGGGCCGAUUGUCUGCUGACUGCUGGUGGCGGGUUGGUGACGAGUGGUGAUUGGUGGCAGUGGGCAUGUUGUUAAUGGAGUUACAGUAAGAGUUUGGAAGAAAGCAGAGGAAAUUAGAAAGUUAGAUAGGUAAUGGAAGUGGAGUUUUUUAUAUGAAUAUAUUAUGCUUGUUUACCUCUCAAGAAAAAUAAAAAAGGUGGAGUUUUGGCAAUUACUUAGUAUGGAGCCAUGGAGGUGGUGGUCUUUAAAAGGAUAAGGAAUGUUGGUGGCACGUCAUUUGUUUUAUGUGCUUGCCUCCAAGUUUUUCUUCUUCCUUUUUGUUUCUUCCCUUGUCCUUGUCUUUUUUUAUUUAUUUUUAUUUUUUAUAAUAUGUAAUCUGUAGAAGUAAUUUAUCACGAAGGAUUGAUGAUGAUGCUGUCGUCUAUGUCAAUAAACCCUUAUAAUAGAAAGGUGCUACUGUGCUAGCAUGCAAUGUAGCUCCACCUAAUUUUGAACAUUUCUAUGUUCUCUUAAUUUUUUUUUUAUCAAAAUUCCAUGCCUAAUUACCCACAAAAGGAAUAAAACAAAAACCAUUAAAAUGACCUAACUGGAGUUAUAAAACUCAUGUGGUUUUAGAGCUUGUUCCAGAACUCUAUGUAGUUGCUAUUUGUUAUUGGGUUCCUUGGGUUAAUGGAAACUUCAUUUUCUUGUGGUAGGUUCUAAAAUACACGGAAGGCUUAUGUUGGGUUAUGCACUAUUAUUAUGAAGGUGUCUGCUCUUGGCAGUGGUAAGAUUGUUGUAAUGCUGCUAUUGUCAAUUAUGUUUGAUUGUUACUUUUCAGAGUUAUUGGAGGCUUCCACUCAGGAGUCAUCUUAGGGAAUUUAUUGAAAAAGUAUUUUUUUUUUUGUUGCCUUUGAAAGUAAUUAUGUCUUUAUGACUUUAUUAUCUUGUGCACUCACUACACGACUGCUUGUUUCCCAAAUAUCCCUGUUAUACCAGGUAACUACAUUAUAUACUGCUACAGUGCUACAUAUGUAACGUAGUCUCUUUUCAACCAUUUAUUUUGAGUUCAUUUGCCACUAUGACAACCUCGUGAACAUCAUAUCCAGUUGGUUUCUGUUUCAUAUUUUCAUUGCUGUGUGUUUUUGUGUUUCAAUGGUGCAUUCUUGAAGUGGCUUUUGUCAUUUUGAAUAUUAGAUGAAGUCUUUUUUGUUCCGUUUGACAAAUUGCUCUGUUUCAACCUUAUACUUUGACCAAAUAAUGAUUUGUCCGCUAAUGCUUUUAGGCUUUUAGCCAUUUGCUAGAUGACUUGUUCAUCUGCUGCUUCGUUUUAAUGAAAGUUACACCACCUCACCAAGUGUAAACCUGAUCAGGCCGGAAGCAACUGAAUGUCUGGUCCAAUUUAUGUUUAGAAGCCUACCAUUAACGUUUCAAACUUUCAAUUAGAAGAAAAUGCUAAACAGUGGAAGUUCAUGGACGAGAAUGGGAAACUUAGAUGUGGAUUCAGUUUGUUUCUGUUGAUACUGGUAGUCAUGAUUACUUGUAGGAUUUGGGCAUGGGGGCUCAUAUGGGUGGGGUAUCAGGUUUAGUUUCUUGCUGAUAUUGUUUUAUCCAAUUUUCUUUGAUGUAAUGGUUGCCCUUUAUAUCUUAAAAUAUUUUUUAUUUAUCAAAAAAAAAAAAAAAAAAAAAAAAAAGAAGAAAAAGAAGGAUAACAUCAAAAGGAAACACCCAAUGCAGUACAUGAAAUUGAAUAUAAUUCAAUACGAAAGUACAUUGAAGAAAGAUUACUUAUCCAAGGAGACCUUUAAAGUAGCUCAUAGAUAAUAUAUUAGUAUAUGAUGUGCACCAAUCUACUUGGCGUAUAACCCCUUUACAUAUGUUUAUCUUGCUGAUUUUUCUUUUUUCUUGUUUGUUAUUCCAGGUUUUACCCCUAUCAUUAUGCACCCUUUGCUUCUGAUAUCAAGGAUCUUGAUCAGUUGGAGAUAAAAUUUGAACUUGGCUCCCCGUUCAAACCAUUCGAUCAGUUGAUGGGUGUUUUUCCGGCUGCAAGGUUGCGUUAGUUGUAUGUUGUAAAUGAUGUUGUAUUACAUAGCAUAAGUACUGAUUAUUAAAUUUUCCACAGUUCCCAUGCUCUACCUGAACAUUAUAGGGAGUUGAUGUCCAGUCCUACCUCUCCUAUUGUUGACUUCUAUCCCACUGGUAUACUCCAUAGUUUACAAUAUUUGUUUCUCUCCAAUAGUGUGUACACAUGUUUUUGACUUUCUUAAAUGUCUUUAUCAGAUUUUGAAGUUGACAUGAAUGGCAAGCGCUUUGCUUGGCAGGUUGGAUUUUACUUAUCCUUUGCAAAAAUCUGUCAUUUGACUUAUAUUAUGUGGAUCUGAGCUCUGGCCUGAUUUCCUAAAUUUAUUUCUUCUUUAUGUUGAAGGGUAUUGCAAAAUUGCCCUUCAUUGAUGAAGGCCGUCUUCUUAAGGAGAUCAGAAAAGUUGAACAUACUUUAACGGUAUGGUACCUAAAACAAAGUCUUACUUCCUUUACUAAUUGCCGUGGAAAUUUGUUUUCAUUAGUGUUGAAAUAAUAUUUUAUCAUGCUUUUGUUUAGGAGGAAGAAGCACGAAGGAAUAGUGUUAUGCUUGACAUGCUUUUCGUGACAGUGUCUCACCCCCUUUCCCCCUACAUUUUUUCCCUAGAUGACCGUUGUAAACAGUUGUCAGACAAAGAACGUGCUGGAAUCAAAGAAAGAAUUGACCCUAAGGCCAGGUUGGUUAGCACUCGACCAUAGUUUUUUCUUUUUAGCCGUGUUAUACUGACAUGUUAUCAGUUAGUUCUGGUGAUUCUUGGCCAGUAUAGCAUCUUUUUUGUAUUUAUGGUUACUCCAUGUUCUUUCUUGGUCGGCCAAACAAGAAAAUGGUAGGACUCAAUUAAUGUGAUUGAGAAAAUUCACAUUACAAACCAAGCGGUGACAAGAACUUAAGAUGAAAUUCUAAUAUCUGUCCCAGACAUGAACCGUCUAAAGCCUAUUCGAAUAAGCCCAUUCCCACAUAGGAGAAAAGGCAUUAGCAUCUCAUAUCUUCAUGAGGGACUCAUGGUGUGUGGCUUGACAAGCGAAGCUCACUAAAUAAUGUCCUAUACAAGCUUAGGAUCUGUAUUACAUAGGUACGGCAAUUUUGUGGCGAAUCACGAAUCGAUAUUGGAUAUGUGUAGACACGGAUCCGGAGUCAGAUUUGCUAUGGAUUCGCCCACUAACAAACAAAAAAUCCCAACUUUAUUGUGUCCAGGGUAUCCUCGCUUCUGUAAAACAUGUUCUAGGGUGAUGUAGGACAUGUUAGGAGUUACUAUUUUAAUUCUAAGUAUGAAAUAGAUUCUAGAAUAUAUUGUUUUAGGUCUAAGUAUAUUAUAUUAGGAAUCAUUAUGUUUUUAGAAGUCGUUUUAAUUUAGAAGUCCUUUACUUGUUAAACAAGCUUCUUGCUCUAUAAAAGAAGCUCUAGGUUAUUGUAAUAGUUAGAGGUUGAUUAUUAUUGAAUUGAAUAGAAGAAUUGCUUCUUGAGUUAUCCUUGUUUUCUUGCUAGAUUAUUCAUCUUUUCCUUCUUUUUACUUGGUGGAUUCCAAGCUUCACGUUCGUCUAGGUUCCUAACCCUAUCUUCUCAUCUUCUUUGAGAGAUUCUUAUCUCGAUCUUCUAAGUUCUACAUUAAGUGGUAUCAGAGCCUCACUUUCUAGAUCCUUAUCUAGAAAGCGGUCCGUCGUCACCUUCCAUUCAAGCAGUUUUCGUCCAUCCAGAUUCAGGAAAUUCGUCAUCUUUGCAGGCUUGUCCAAGACAGAAUACUUUGAACCAGUGUACGUGCUAUAGCUUGUUGGAAAGAUCUUUGAGUCUUCUUUCUAACCCAAUCGACGGUUCGCAAUUCAGAAUUCUGAGCAGGGAGAUACGGUCGUUCUACUACAGGGUGUCGAAUCAGAUUAUUUUUUCUGCAACAAUUUUUUUGUUCUCUCUUAACAUCCAAUGGCACCUAAUCAACAAGAUUUCGUUUCAAAGAAAGAUUUUGAUGCAGCGAUCAAUUCUCUUAAAGAAAAUCAAGCUACCAUGAAAACAGAGUUCAAAACUUCCCAUGAUUCGUUGAAAGAUUCCAUUGAUCAACUCACACGCCAAAUUUCUCAACUUCUCAAAGGUAAGGACAAGAUAGAUGAAAAUAUUCCGGUAUCUACAUCCAAUAUUCCAACCACCAACAUCCCUCUUCCCUCUACACCUAUGGUUCCCUCCACCAUCCAACCAAUUUCGUCUUUUUCUCAAGAGGAGAAUGUUGAUUUUAACCUAGCCGACUUCUUUAAAGAAGAGGAGUUUAUUGCAUGUUCUACCUUUCCUUCUUAUGAAGACCCUUUUGAGUAUUUUUGUUCGAUAUCCAUUAAUUACAAAGGGAAUGUUAAAGCUUUGUUUGGCGACACACACUUCAAAUUGAUAUGUUAUCCUUGGAUUUAUUUCCCUACUCGAAGCCAAAAGAAGGAUCAUGGAAGUAUUAUACUCUCGUCUUUAGGAAGUGACUCCCUUGUGAUUCCAAUGCAUAACUCGAGGGCGAGUUAUUUUAAAGAAGAGGAGACUGAUGUAGGACAUGUUAGGAGUUACUAUUUUAAUUCUAAGUAUGAAAUAGAUUCUAGAAUAUAUUGUUUUAGGUCUAAGUAUAUUAUAUUAGGAAUCAUUAUGUUUUUAGAAGUCGUUUUAAUUUAGAAGUCCUUUACUUGUUAAACAAGCUUCUUGCUCUAUAAAAGAAGCUCUAGGUUAUUGUAAUAGUUAGAGGUUGAUUAUUAUUGAAUUGAAUAGAAGAAUUGCUUCUUGAGUUAUCCUUGUUUUCUUGCUAGAUUAUUCAUCUUUUCCUUCUUUUUACUUGGUGGAUUCCAAGCUUCACGUUCGUCUAGGUUCCUAACCCUAUCUUCUCAUCUUCUUUGAGAGAUUCUUAUCUCUUUCUUCUAAGUUCUACAUUAGUUUUGUUGGUGCGAAGUUAGAGGCGAAAAUUUUCACUUAAACAAUCGUGAUCUUGAUGUACCGAUGACGAAUACCCUAAGAAAGCAAUAGCCCAUGUGUAAACCUGGCCAGUAAUAGAAGUAAGAACAAUGGGCUUUCAGAAAUGGGUCACAAAUUGUUGUUAAUAUGCAUAUGAAAUUGUUUCUAAGAAGGUUCAUCUUAAGGUGUAUUUUUAGUUUUUUACAUAAAAUUCAAAAUAUUGUUGUUACUAAUGCUUAAGGGUCAAAUAAUUAACAAUCUGAUAUUUUUUAUUGUCAUUAAUAUAUUAUAACUAAUAAAUCAGUUGAGUCCCCGAAUCUUUUUUGUAAUCACCGUGUUGGACGUUCGGUACCCAUGUCGGAUUCCGACACACAAAGAUAUACCCAUGCAACACAACUUAGGAUAAUUGCAUUCCCGAAAGAAUUGAUGAAUUGUGUCCUCCUAACACGUACCCGUAAUGCAUUGGUUUAGCAUAAUCUCUCUUCUCGUUUUUUGGUUGUCCAUGGUAAAAACUCUUCAACAAAGUACUCUAUUCCAGAAAGUGUAGCCCAAAUGAAGAAGAUAUUUCCUUGGCCCAAAUAUGCUUCCAAGACCAAUUAGGAUUUAGGAAGGGUUUAAAUUGGUGCCUUUUGCUUGACAAGCAUUUCAUGCAAGAAUAAGGAGUUUAGGUCAUUCUUUGUUACUGUGACCUUGAAUUCUCUCAGCUGCUUCUUCGUCAAGAAGCCUCACAUGUUCUAGUAAAGGGGACAUGUCCGGCCAUUUUUGUUAUGAAAGCCACGCCCUGUCUUCAACUCUUGAGGCACAAUGUCUAGCACCAUACAUAAAUCCCUUAUAAUUAUAAUUGACAACAGUAUGAAUAUACUAACAAAGUAACAAUUGCUAGCUAGGAACUUUAUAUUUGAAUUGCGCUUUGUUGUGAUUUGAGAUGUUUCAACAAAUUUCUGAUCGUAUAUAGGGUUACAUGCAGUGGUGGGAUGAAUGGUUAUAUAUCCCUUUGUAGUGGAGAUCCUUGCCCUCCCAUCUUCAGGUCAGCUGUCAUGGGGAUGGAAGACAUUAUGAACAAUCAAGUCAUGUGAGAAAUUUUGUUACCGAAGACAUUCUUCUGAUACUUCUGUCAACCAUGCAUAUGUAAGACUAAUGCCGUCUUUUCUUUCUUUUACAGAUGUGCUAUAUACAUCCUUCCUGACACACAUAAACAUAUCACUCGCCCUCCAGAAGGGGUCGUAAUCCCGAAAAAGGUAAAUCUGACCUUUUAUGAAGAUUUGAUAAUGAUGGAUUAGAUCAAUGCCCGGGCUUCCAACUCCAACUUGUCAGCCCAAAAGGGCAACAACCUACACAGUUAUCCAUAAAUAAAUGCUAAUAUAUGAGCACUUCAACGUCUGUUGAAUUCAAGUAAUAAAGCCUAAUCUAUAUUUCUGAAGAGACUACAGAUGACAAUAUAGAAAGACUAAAAUAUACUCACCCUAUCUAGACUAAAUUAUUUCUGAAAUUUAAAGGCGGAAAGAAAGUCACUGAAGAACGAAUUCAAAUAGUUUCAUGGAAGUAAUUUUAGCAUGGGCCCUUUAAAUUAUGGCUUAACGUUAAUAUUUAGAUGCUUUCAUCCCAUGGAUGCGAGUGAAAUCAUGUAUAAUUUUGGGGCUUGUUUCAGACUGUUAGCGUAGGAGAUUUGAAGCCACCACCUGCAUUGUGGCAUGAAGAUUCUUGGAAGAAGCCGUGGGAAAGGUACUGUUAUAUAAGAAGCACGCACACUUGUGGUCAACAGAUAUGGCAGUCUGUUAGGCAUUGAUGUGUUACUGUUUUUUCAUGAUCAACUUUUCUUUAUCUACAGGCAAAAUCAUGGAACACCGGGCGGUAGACAACUUAGUGGUAGACAACUUGGCGAGGAGGCGCAUCGACUUGUGACUAACAGCUUACAGUUGAAGACACAGCAUAACAGGGUGGAUCAGAUGCAUGUUCCACAAUCAUCAUAUGGUAGGGGUUUUCAUGGUGCUCAACCUUAUACAAAUGGCAGAACCUACAAUCAGGAGUUUCAAAGACCAAUGCCUCCUCAUAAUGAUAGAUUUGUAAAUCCCAAUGUCCGUGCUUACGAACCACCUCCACAUGUUAACCAUUCGUAUGUACGACCAUCUAAUACCCCAUAUGAAAGAAACACCUGGGCAGCAACCCAGAGUAGAGAUCCUCGCUUGCAUGGCUAUUCACCAGUUCCACAUCAGAAUGUGCAACUCCAAUAUCCUCCGCCACAAGUAGCACCAGUAGAAAUGACAGCUGGAGCUCAUGUUCAGCCGAGAGGUGGAUUCAAUAGCUAUGUGAAUCAGCAAGCAUAUGGGUCUAAUAGCCACCAUCGACGGGGAGGGCGUCAGGGGCCUGUAGCAAACCCCAGAGGAUUUUCCAGAGAUUAUAAUCACCAAAGACAUUCAGGUAAUCAGUACUCAAAUUUGGGUAGAGGUGCAAAUAGAGGUGCAAAUAGAGGGCCACGCCCUCCCCAUAGAUACAACCCUUGACAUGUUCUAUCGGCUAACCUAGUUUGUAGCCCUUGUAGUAGAGAAAAUUACCUGUGUUUAUUUUAAUUUUUUAUUUAUCUUUCAUGUACUUUAGUUGUAACUGAUUCUUUUUCUCUUCGGCAUAUUGCUUACAACUGAUGUAAUAAAACUUUUGAGAGCAAUGUAAAAUUCCAUUUCCGGCAACCUUUCUUUUCGAUUAUUUGUCAGAAUACUCUUGAGUAUGUGGUUUGAUGUUUGAUGCCAUUAUAUCUUUAAAGUUUAUAACUUAUCCAAACUGCCUGACUUUGGAUCUAAGUGCUAAGAAUGAUUUGUCGGUAGAAGCGAUUUCAGGUGUAUCUGUUUCUCUGUACUUAAGUAUCAGAGACUUUUAUUUUCAUAUGAUAUCAUACUAGCAAUAUGAUGAUACAAGUACUGGUUUUGUUAAAUAAUGGAGCAUAGUUUCUGUGUUUUUGAACCAUAAAUACAGAGAGUUUCCAUAAAUACAGAGAACUUUGAACCAGUGGAAGGAUUUCACCUUUCUUUUUUAGGGUUGAUGUCUCUUCAUAUUGCAUGUAUGGUGUACCUCCAUAGUUUCUUGUGAAGUAACCAACUCAGAAGUUAAUUGAACAAAGGUAUCUUGGUUGCAUGGAAUGGUAAGGCCACCCAUUGGAUAACUGAAUUUGUACUCUUCCUCGGCCUGAAUUAGCAAAUCUUGAAACGAAGGGUGUUUUAAGUACGACAAUGGAAGAACAUAUCUUUUUUUUAGCACCUCCCCAACAUAUACCGUGAAAUGACCUUUAGGAACAUUUUUGGUGGCUGGAACUGUUGCCCCUUCCGGUGCAGUCUGUUGGAGGGUUUGCUUGAUGCUGCAGGUGUGCCUGGGAAUAUUUAUUAUACUCAUCUUUUGGAAGAGAAGAGAACAAUAGACAUAAAUUGUGUCUUAACAGCAUGUCGAGAGGAAGUCAUUUUAUAUAAGCAGUGAUAAAAUGAAGAGUGUGCUGGAAUACAUAUUUCACAAAGGUUCACAACUUUACAUGGAUUUGCCUUCCAAUACUAAGAAUUUGUUUUGUGCAUAACUGAUUAGCUCUUGUGAUGUAAUCUUAAUUCCUAUAAGACUUGUUUUCUACGUGAAAGACUCCUUCUAGUGUCAAUAAUUCAUGUUUACUUUCUGAGCUAGCAUUGUGCUUAACCAGUUGGAGUAAUCCCAUAAAGAGAAUCUGACUCUCAACUAUAUUAAGCAACAAAUUUGUGGUACGUCUGUUCACAGAAAAGUGGUACUUUUGUAUGCCUAAGUAACUAAUUCACUCACUUUUUGGUAAGUAUAUUAUUCUUCUUUUUGAUGAAGAAUGAGACAAUGAGUACGGUUUGAAGUUUGGCUGUGUUAGGUGCUUGAUUCGUUGAAUAUAGCGUAUAUCCAUCCAAUGGUGGUGGAACUGUAGAGGCUCACAUCAAUCCAUUCUUGUUAUCUAAAUGUAUGGUGUGAGGUUUUUAAUCUUCUUAUAUCUAUUAAUCUAUAUCAUCAAAUUGAUAAGAAUUGAUUGCUUCAAAAGUAAGGUGAAAGAAACUCAUGAGUCAUCACAUAUACAAAUUAAAACCAUACAUACACACAUACUGCAAACUAAUACGUAUAUCAGCUUGUGGUGUUAAGUGUUCAGCACUUAAGAAAUCAACUUGAAUGUGAAUGCAAUUAUGUAAAGACUUCACCUAACAAGUCGCACUCCCAUCACCCACGCCACGUGAGUCAACUCAUAUCAUGAUAUGUAUCAAGCUAGAUCAUUUCAUUUCAUUUCAUGUGGUAGUACUACAAUAAUUGUACCUAAAUAUAUUGAAAAAGAAUCUAAAGACUUUAAAGGCCAUCUUUUAAUUUUUUUUUAUUUUUAAUGAUAAUUAGUACCUUGUAUUAAAACAAAAUAUGUAGUUCUGUACAGGGAUUGAGAAGGUGAGAGUAAGACAUGCCACUCACCUCAACUCAAAACAGCAAAACAGAGAAAAUACAAAAAGAGAUGUUGAAAGCUAUGGUGUUAGAAUGCAGUCCAACUACUAUAUGUCCCCCAACCCAAUGAGGUCCUGAAAGUUAUAAUCCUGUUACAAAUAUAUGUCCCCCAACCCAAUUCCAUAUGGUGCCUUUUAUCUUUGCGAUCGUGUGGUCUUUGUCCGCUUGAGUACCCCCUGAGCACUUUGUCUUCCAAGCGAUCCAGACGAUGACCACAUUUUCGACCCCAAUCCUCCUCCAUGGUGUGCUGGCCAUUUAGUGAGCAAUUGUUUAACAGUUUGGCUGCUCUGAACCAGCUCUGUGCAGUCAGUCAGAAAUGUCAUUAACAAGAGUGGCCCAAAUCUGCCAUUCUAACAAGACUUGGCAAUCUUUAAUAACUAAUCUAUAUAUCUAUAUAAUAGCUAGACCCAUGCGGUCCCACAUUCUCUCUUCUAGGUGGCAUUCUAAAUGAUCUCCAAGCUCUCACAAUUUUUCUAUUUAAAAAAAAAAAAAAAAAAAUUGGUUACUUUAAAACUAAUUUUUGUUUUUCUCUAUAUUUCUUAUCCAUUUUUCAUUAAACAAAUAACCUCUACACUUUUUAUCCACUCUCCCACUAAGCACAAACCUCUCAAAUCAAAAUAAAAACACAAUAAAAUAGUAAAAACAUGAAUUAAUCAAACAUAAAUAACACGGACAGUCUAAUGAAGCUUUUUCUCAUACCCCGGUGCGUAGCGCGGGUUCCCAGCUUGUUCCUAUAAGAUUUAUUAAUCUAAAUUGUAAAGGCUAUAGUCAUCGAUGACAAACAAAUGAGUCUGAUUGACUUCUCAAGACAAUACAUUAUUAUUGUGAUGUCCAUGCACCUACUGACAGUAUUCAUCCUUUGGAACAUCUCUACCAACCAAAGGGAAGAUUAUUUGUUUGUUAAUACGUAAUAAUAAUAGAAAGGAAGGGUGCAACAAAGUCUUUUGUAUGUAUAAUUGGGUUCUCACCUAAGUCAAUCUAGGUGAAUAGUUUAAUAACGCAAGUGUUGAGAUCAUGGGAGAGUUGAUGAUAUAUAAUUUGCAGAGAAAUAAUGAAAACGACAUUCUAUAAUAGUAUUCAUUAUUAGAAAUAGACAAACAACAAAAAUUUGCUAGCAGGUCCACACGACAUCUUCCCCGCGUCAUUUUGAUAUCAUAUCUUAGAUUUUUCUUCCCCACAGAUUCUUUUGGGGAGAAGGUAAGGUUUUCCUUCCUUCUAUUCCAUUAUGCUUUUGUGAAAGAAUGUAUGAAUGCAGUUCAGAAUUUAGAAACAUAUGCCAUUACAGGCACAGAUUGUUUUCAAAGUACUAAGACAAACAUCUUUCUUGCUAUAUCAUUCUAUCUCAAAAUGUGUCAAAGAAAUGGCUACAUUUUUACAUCUGGACACAGAUAAUUAUUUUACAUCCAUCAUAAAACCAUACUGGAAACUAAUUAUUGAUUAUUGAAUCGUGAUGUAUACUAUAUAGUACACACACAUUACAUUGUUAUGUGGGAUACUGGGAUGGCCUAUGAUUGUAAAUACAAGUAUGCAAUGGAUUUGCACAGACUCCUUACAAAGCUUAAUGUAGCAAUGAACAAGUAAUUCAUCGGCCUUAUAUAUUUACUAUUUACAUUGACUGGCACUAUUAACAAAGCUAUAGAAAAUAAUUAUUGUAGGUACCAUUUUACUCUGCAAGCCAGUCCAGAUUGAAGCACUCUUCAGCCACUUCUACCCGAAGAUCUGGUACCACCCUUUCAACUUCUUUCCACAACCAAGAAGCUUCUUCAUCGCAGAUGACACGGCUCAGUCGUCUCAAUGAUACAGCAGAAGCAGGUACACUACUGAUCUGUGAGCACUCCCUCAUAUCAAUCUUUUCUAGCAUGAUUAGUCCACCUAUUCGUUCAGGGAGACUUGUAAGGUUGACACACUGAGAGAUGUCAAGAUACUUCAAGUUCUCUAGACCACAUAGGCUCUGUGGAAGCUUUUCCAAAGCUGGGCAGGAACAAAACCUAAGGAUUUGUAGAGAUUUCAAUUGGCCUAGCUCAAUUGGUAAAUUUUGAAGAUCAUGACAGUUGGUAAUGCUUAGACUCCGAAGUGAGCUGAAACUGCAGACACUUGAUGGCAACUCAGUAAGAUUGGUACAGUGGUCCAUUGUGAGCUCCAAGAGGCGUGGAAGAAUCAGCGGCAUAUACAACAAUGAUCCGUCAGGCAUUUUGAUAAAUUCACAUAGGACUAGAGAGAUUUUGAGCAAGUUAGGCAUUGGGACUGUGAUAUCAGGUACCGACGGGAUAACUAUCUUUUCCAACCACAAGCUUCUCAGCUUACUCAUAGAGGAAAACACACCGAAGUUGUGAAGUACUGUGUUGGAAUUCCCAUAAUUGAUGAGAACUAGAGCCCUGAGGUUUGGCAUUCUAUCAAUGAAGGGAGGUAAGUAGUACUCAUUUGAGGAAAAGUUCAGGAUGAGAACUUCCGCCUUCGGGAAGUCCAUAGAGAACCAAUCCCAUUCCUUCAUUUCACCUGUGUUGCAUAAGAAGUGCAGCUCAAAGUGAGUAUGAAUUGCUGAAAGCAUCAUCACAAAUUACCUCAAGCACAAAAGUACAGAUGGACAAUGAAAAUAGCAAUGGGCAUUACCUGUAUGAAUUGAAACAAUCUGGGCUUGAAAUGGCUUAUCCAUGUUUCUUUCCCACUCCUUUGGAAGCCUCUCUUCUCUCCUUGGCAUAAGCAAUCUCCGCCGUUCAUUUAAAGCAACACGAUUGCUGUAAUGAAGAGCCAUGUCUCUCAGCACAUCAUGUUCAGUAAUAGAAAUUUCAAAGUAACUGCUAUAUGUGUCCCCAGCACUGCAAAAUAAAAUAAACGAAUGGUUAUACUUCAUUAUAGACAUGUCACAACAUUUGUGAUAACAUAGAAAUUUAUUCCAAAUUACACACCGUGGAUCUUUCACUAGAGUGAUGAGAUUUUUGUCUGAAAGUUCCACAAGUAUUGCAAAAGCUUCCUCUUCAUCGAGAUCAUGUAUCUCGACCCACAUGUUAACGAGUACAUCAAGAGGAAUCUUCUUGUCUUCCGGGAAGGAUGCCAAGUCUAAGAAACAUUCUUUAACUUUUGGAGGCAGGAACUCAAUGCUAAUCGCCAUGCGAUCAAGUAAUUUGGUAGCAUGAGACUCGCAUAUUGGUUCCCCUCGUGAUAAUCUGUUCUUAGCACUAGUCCAAAACAUCUGAGGUUGGUCUCUCAAUGAAGCUCCAAUAACCUUUAGCGCCAAAGGCAGCCCUUUACACUCCUUCACAACCUGUUAACACUUUCAUUAAGCAUUUGCAAACAAAGACUCUAAAGUAAUUAACAUGAAACAACUCAAACAAUGCACAUCUUCCAUUCCUACCUGCUCAACAAGAUUCCUAUCAGCAAAAAAUGGAAGUGAUUGUUGUCCAAAAGCAGAGUGACAAAAUAGAGACAUAGCUUCAUCUUCCCUCAGCAAUUCAACAUCAUAAGUCCAAUUAAACACUUUCGGAUAUUUGAAUCUUGAAACAACCAAAGUUUUACAACCUGGUAUAUUAAAAACUAGCUGUUCCAAAUCCGAAAGUGACCAAACAUCGUCCAAAAUCACCAAUGUUCUUCCUUGCAUUCCCCAAUCAGGUUGUAGCCAUUGUGGAACAAAAUAUGGAGAACCAACAAUGUCAUUACUCGCAAUCUGUGCCAUGAGUUUUUGUUUCAAAUAUUCUACGUCUGGGGAUUGCGAGACCGUCACAAAGAACACUCUAUUGUUAAAGUGACCUGUAUCAUAAGUAAAUUCAAUAACUCAAAUUUUCAAACAAACAGAACAAUAAUUCAAGUAAAGAUUGGAUAUUACAAAAAGCAAGAUUGAAACUUACUUCUCACUUGAGGAUCUUUGCUAAUCUCAGUAGCCAAAGUAGUUUUUCCACUACCCCCAAUACCACAAAUCCCAAUAACUUUCAAAUCAUCUCUUCCAACAACAACUUCCAUCAUUUUCUUCUUUGCUAAAACCAUUCCAACUCCAAUCAAAUUCACAACUUUCUCUUCUUCUUCAACUUUCCUUCUCAUACUCUCUUCCACCCAUCCAUUUCCUUCAAUUCUCAAACCCCCAAUUCUUUCUUCCAAUUUAUCUAUCCCAAUCUUUUCUUCCAAUCUAUCUAACCCAACUCUCAAAUGAUGAACAUCAGCUAAUACAUGAAAUUGCAAAGGACCAUUAAUGAAUCUUGAAACAUUUUUCUCUAAUUUCUCCAUUUUUCUUGCAUAUUGCAAAUUCUUGUAAACAUUCCAUCGAUUAGAAGAUAAGACUUUAACUGCUAAUUCUCUUCCUGCUGUUAAUGUUUCAGAUAAACGAUCAAGAUGAUUCUGACGUCCUUGUGGUAAUUCAACACCGGAAUACUUGAUCUCUGUAAUGAUUGGAAGUAAUUCAUUUAUAGAAAUCAUUAGUUGUUCUGCACUUGCUCUACAUAAUGAACAUUUUCUUGUAAUUUGAAAUAGUUGUUUUAGUAAUUCAGUUGCGAUUUCUCCCGCGAAAAAAUCUGUUACCGCCAUUUUUUUUUUUUUUUUUUUUUUUUUUUUAAGAAGUGGUGGUGGUGGUUGUGAACUUUGUGAUGAUGGAGGUACUGGUAGUAGUAGUAGAAGAGUAAAUGGUUUUAGUUGUUUUAAUAAAGAAAGAUGAGAGAUGAAGUGAAUGGAGAUAAAGAAAACAAUGAGUGGUGGGACCCAUGUUUCACUGUCAUCUUCACUGUCUGUUUGAGUAUUGACUGUUGACUUUGACUAAUUAAUUAUACUAACUAAUUAUAGUAGUUAUUUGAUGUGAUGUGAGAUGUCAUAAAUAACCUGUUAAUCGAAUGUUCUACUGAUGUGGCAAUGUGGCUAAAAUUGAAAAUAUAUUUAUUUUGAUAUAAUAUAAAAGUGAAUGUAAGAUAUGAAAUGGAUCCGUGGCGCAAUGGUAGCGCGUCUGACUCCAGAUCAGAAGGUUGCGUGUUCGAUUCACGUCGGGUUCAACAUUUUGCUCGCAUUGAAGAAGAAACAACUAUAGAAUAGCUACAUGAGAUUUUUUUUUUUUUUUUUUUUUAAGAGUUUGUGGGUACCCACAGUGGGAGAGAGGCCAUAUAUAGGUUCAGUAGAACUGGACCGAUAACCGGAACAUCCCCACACUCACAUCCUUGGGCACUUUGAUUGUGUGGUCUGUGAGAUUUGUGUACUACAGGUCUACAGUAGGACACUUUUGAUUGUGUAGUCUGUGAGACUUUUUAGAGAUGCAUGGGAAGUUUGCAACUUUGUAUCCGAGAUAAUUUAAGUAUAGUACUUUUGUGCUCUACUGCCAUGCAACUAUCUGGGUCACUGUGGUGAAAAGUCUGCAGUAAUACUGUAAUAGCAAGUCCUUACUAAGGUUUUGGCUGGGAGGGAGUGCAUGAGGGUUCAGCUUCACAGCUUGGUUCAUACCCAGAGCUGUGACAGCUACCAGUGAACAACUCAACCUGUAACUAUUAAUGUGAUGUUGUGACUUGCGCUGACAAAAAUGGUCCGAGUACAUUGUUUUGAUGUCUAAUCACAAUGCAAAAAAUGUGUUCCUUUUCCUAGAUAGCAAUAUAGCAUCAAUCCUAAAGCCCAAACACCCGACAACCUAAACUGUUUAGUGUUUUUGUUGUUUUAAGACUCCAAGCAAUGAAACCUGAAAGUGAUUAGAUCACUAAGCACUGAAUUAAUUUUAUGAACAAAAAAAAAAGUACCACUCAACAAAAAGAAUUCAAGAUCCCAGACUCGAACCUAAAUUAAUGAAAGUGUAAUCAGGAAUUCAGGAUUUCUGGCCAAUUCCAAGUAAAAAUAAACAGUCAGACAGAAAACUUGUUCGGAAACAAAGUAUGUAAGAAUACAACAAAUCUACUGUGUUAAAAUUACAAAACCAUAGAAGGGAAACACAACAUUUCUAAGAAGUAAAAACACAAUACCAAUAAUACAAAGAGGACUGCAUCUGCCUUGUAAUAUAAAGACAUCACACUCCACAUAUAUGACAGACGACGAUUGACACUAAUGAAGCAAAUGGUGUCUUACGGUCCAAUCAACGUUAUAUCAAAAACUCCCUCGGUCUUCAAGUGUAUAGCCCCUAAACUUUGCCGUGGAAGCGAUUAACAUAAAGCCAUUGACCUUAUCACAUUGCGUAUACAAUUUCACCACUACUGUCGACAUCAAGAUCAAAAUCAGUAUCUAGGUCAUCCAUGUCAUCAUCAAAGUCCAAAUCACCAGCAAGACAAUGACUGAGGUUGCGAGUCCCAGGUGCAGGUAUCGUGGCUUCUGCGAUGAUCUGCAUGAUUUCAUCAACACUUUGCAUAGGCUGAUCAGGUUCUACAAACUGACUGCUCAUUGGAUUGUCAUUGAUGAGAUCCGCAGGAAGAUUCUUCAGAAACCACUCAUGGCUAUGAAUUUCCGACAUGGUAAUCCUCUGUCUCGUGUAAUCAAAGGAAUAAGAUUCAGUAUUGAUCAAGGUAGCAGAAAUUAUAUUGAGGUCUAUUAUUAUUAUUAUCUUCUUGUUUACCCCAGCAUCAACAUUAUAAAGCGGACAAAUAGAAAUAAAUUAAGGUGUAACUCGCACAAUACGAUGGACAUGCAAAACAUAGAUACACAAAUGGAGAAAAAGCUUCGUUGUAAUUCACACCAUACAACACUAUGCAUGAAGCCAUGAAGAUGUUAAAGGGGCGACCAACCGAAAAUAGGAAAUGAACAUCAAAGAUGCUCUAUUGCUUGUGAAACGAUGGAGCAAAAACAAGGAAAUGAAUAUCAAAGAUACUCUAUUUUCGACUAAACUCUCACGGUCCAUUGCUCUAUUGUUUGUGAAAGAAAACGUUGCACCAUGAUGUGAGGUGCUAACUUAGUGCAUCAUCAAGCCUAAAGAUCUGAGGCUUCAUGUGUGUGGUUUUUCAUUAAACAAUCAGUACAAAAAUAUGAUAGAACUUUAGAAGGAACUUGAAAAAAAAGAAGAGAAAGAACAAGAAAAUGAAGUACAAUAAUGAAUUAAUGAUAAAUAUCGUAGUAUAUCAGUAAAAAGAUGUGACAAGUAGUUUAAUAUAUUGAAGUAUAUUCACAUUGUAACCAAUUCAGCUGGUUUUGUAAAUUUGGUCAGAGAUUAUCACAGAACUGACUUCCAAUUUCAUUUACUAAAUUUUAGCUUAGUUAGCUGAAGAAGGGAACUGAGUGCGUAUACUUUUAGAUGAAGUGACUUCUGAGACAUCGUCGCCUUCCAAAUUCAUAUGAACAAAUUUAGAUUAGUUAACUGAAGAAGGGAACUGACUGCGUGGCCAGAAACUUGGACAAAGCGGCAUAAUUUUUGUCCACUUGCCCAAGACGUACAGCACAGAAGCACAGAUUCAGAAGUAUAUGAGUGGGCAACUCAAAAGCAUAAGCACUGAAGCAUAUGCCUCUAUUAUUGUAGACCUGAAUAACACAUUUGGGGUUUGUUGGGUGACUAGUGACACUCAUCCGGAGGACACUUGGACGUGUGACUGUGUGAGUGUCACAUUAAAGUACGACGAUGAGAAUCAUGAGACCAACAUAACAUCAUGAUGACAAAAAGAAGCAAUUAAAGCAAAUGAAUUGUAUGGUCAGACAAAAAUGGAGGAUGGCUAAUCUCUUCUCUCAAUUUCUCCUAGUUCUCCCGUUGAUCUGCGGAACUGAAGUACUAUUACUAACCGUGGAAGGGUUUCCAACAAAUAUCCUUGAUAUCAGGUGGCAGCACUCAGGAGAUAUAUGGACAUAGUCUGGUAUUGAAUACUGAACGCUCAAAAUUCUCUGCAGAAAACAAACAAUUGAUUAGUAUAUAGUAUACUAAUAUAAUCUACUGUCAUUGGGUGCAAUAAUAAGCUUCAACCACAAACCUGUAUUGUUUUCUUAAAAUUCUUGGGCUCUUCAGGAUCCUCGAAUGGAUAAGCACCCACAAGCAUGACAUAGAGGGUUACACCACAAGACCAAACAUCUGCAAUCUAAAUCACCGCCAUACAUUAACUUAUAUCACAAGUUGCAUCGAGAAAGUGUCUGGCAGCUUGACAUCAAUUACAAAUUCAAGCUAGUAUCUUAACUGAAAUUGUAAUAUAGACCUAGGACUAUGGAUAUGACAGUAUGAGAUAAGUCAGAGAAUUUUAUCCCUUUGAACAAACUGACAAGGAGCUCUCUUUGGGUAAGUCAUUCAAACCACUUUCUCCCUUGGAACAAACUGACACAUUUGGCCCUAAGUAUUCUUCUUCUCACGAUGAAACAGAUAAUGGGUUUUGACUUUUUACAAAGGCCUAUAUCACUAUAUGUUGGUAUAAUAAUCUAUGCAUUUGCCUCUUGCACCUAUUUUGAGAUUGAUAGGUGGAGUAGGGUGAAUAAUACACACAUCUCAUCAAUUACGGAAGCAUGUAGAUGUUGUAAGAGAUAAAAGCUUACUUUUCCAUCGUAUUCCUUACGAAGUAAGACUUCUGGAGCAAUAUAAGCAGGGGUCCCCACGGUUGACUUUGGUUGUGAAUGCAGUACUGAUGACUGACAAAAAAAUAGAGAUUUCAAUGAGUAUGUACAUGAGAUUGCCUUAGAAAAGAAGAAAAACUGCUAGAGUAAGCAAGUUCUAGUACAAUUGGAUUUGAAUCAAGAAUUUUAUGCAGUAUGAGGGGGUUGAUAUAAAUGAUAUAUCUUCAACUCAAAUGUAAUAAUUCAUACAACUUCUAAAAUCAAGUAUAUGGUUCCACAUAUAAUUAUAUCCAAUGUAGUCAGAAUAAUAUUCAUCCCAACUUUAAAGUUUAAAGUAGGUGUGAUGCUAUGAGUUUCCAAUUAAAAACGAAAAACAAUUAAAGAUGGAAGUAAUAAAACCUUAGAGUACCCAAAGUCACAUAUCUUUAGACGAGGAGCCGGGCUUCCAUCCAAGAGUGUGUUUUCCAACUUCAAAUCGCGGUGACAUACUUGCUUCACAAAGAAAACAAAAUAAAGAAGAACAUCCAAUCAUUAAUGGUUCCUUAAGAGGACUAGAAAUGCAAUUCAAACAAAUCUUUUUAAAUACCAUUGAAUGACAAUAGCUGACUCCUGAUAUAAGUUGUUGGAAGAAAAACCGAGCCUGUGACAAGACCAGGAUUAAGAAAACAUCAAACUGAAGUUCCCGUUGUAGAGGAAAAGGAGUUAAUUGAUAAAAGUAAUAACCUCAUCCUCACUGAAACGUCCUGCAUUACAUAUUCGUUCAAAGAGCUCUCCACCAGACGCGUACUCCAUAACAAUAGCCAGAUGGGUUGGUGUCAAUAUGACCUAAAGUAUGAUUUACAAUAACUUAAAAAACUGUGUUAAGCCAUAAUUCCUUUACCAAGUUAAUAUCUAAUAUCAAAAAGAAAAAAUGAAACAAACCUCUUUGAACCUGACGAUAUUAGGAUGCCUCAAUGAUCUAUGAUUGAUGAUCUCCCUUUGUACAUUUGCAUCUAUCUGUCAGAUGAAAAACAAGAUGAGAAUGGUAGCCAUGUUCUUAAUCCAAUUUCACAUCUACACUACAAUGACAUUCUUCUCAUUACACACCUAAACUAAAAAAAUCAUAUUGCUCUGCCCCCAAAUUUUAUCAUUUUCUAGUUUAUAUCACAUUUGAAAUUUGAUUCAGAUAAUUCAACAUAUUGAAGAACAAUUCCAUUUCUCAAUCUAUGUAAUAGAUAUACUUGCAAUUUAACAAAUAUGCAACUACACCUUGAUAUCUAUUGAAGAAAGCUAACCUUUUCACCUCUUUCAAUAUACUUAACAGCAACAAGUUCUUUACUUUGUUUAUCUCUCAUUAACCUCGCAACACCAAAGUUUCCUGAACCAAUAUCCUUAACAAGCUCAUAUCGAUCAUUAUCAUGCAUUAUCGGCAUAUCCAUACCUGGUCCAACUGUAAACUGUGAUCGAUCCAUGUAAUCUCCUCCUCCUCCUUCUCUCUGACUCUGAUCAUCCAUCUUCUCAAGUCUCACUCAACUCAAUCUUCUAUCUUCUUCUUCUUCUUCAAACUAUCAAUUGAUACGUGGUGAUUUAUGAUCAAAUCAUUCGAUUAAUCGAACCGAUCGAUCAAGAACACAUCAAGUGUUUGGUUGGUUGAGGAUAGAGACUGAAUGAAGAAGUAAUCUCGUGAGAAUUUAAGAGAGAGAAAGUGAUUUGCAGAGAGAGCUCGUGAUGAGCUGCUUGCUUUUAACUACUUCUUUCUUUCUUUCUCUCUCUAGAUUACACUUUUAAUUAAAAAAAUCUAAUUGUGAAAGAAGAUAUUUUUCUCUCUCUGAUGAUCUAAUCGACGAAGUAAACGGAGAUUAUAUAUGUUAAUUAAUGUGAUUGUGCGUGCGAGCGAACAAGAUUAUUAAAUGUAAAUUAAAUUACAUUUGUAUCCUCUGUUUCUUGAUGAAAAAUCACACCAGAAAUUACCCAAACACCCUUAGUUUCGGAUAAGGGUCACAAGUACCAAUGACUAACUUUCUUUUAAAGGGGUGGUUUAGGUUUCAGAGUAAGCAAUUCAAAUAAAUUGACAAGUUUUCCCACGCACCAGUCAAUACAACCAACUCAUAGAGUGUUUUGUGUGUGUGCUUGUAAUAUGUUUGACGAAAUGACUUAAUGGCCUACUUAUUCUUGUUCAUGAAAAAAUUUCAAGAGCUUUGCAUUGAGCAGAAUUGAAAGCAACCCAUGCUCAGUAAAUACCUAGGUAAGAUUUUUAUUUUGGUUGCAGUUGCAGACUUGCAGUGUCUAAAAAUCUGCAGAUAUUGGAUGAUGGUGUCAUUCUCGUUAGUUGUUACCCAAAAUGAUGUUCCUGUGGAUGCCCUUGUAGUUGUCUCUCCUCCAGAUGGAGUAAUACCGGCAUAAGGCAUAAGGCCUGCUCCUAAGAAGAGGAUAAAGCAACGUGGAAUAUUGUUUUUCAUGCUGUGCAUCAAUCAAGGGUAAGUCUCUUUUUCCUCUGUCAUAUUAUUUUAAUAGCAGAACAUAAUUUGUUAAACAUUUUAAACCCCUCACAUAAUCACAUUAUUUCGUUGGCUAUAAGAAUAAAUAUUCUACUAUUUCGCUAGAUAUGCAGUCAUGUAUUUAUGUGUACAUAUUAUUUUAAAUUGGAAAAGGCAGCUUAGGUGCAUUUGCAACCUAGUAGUCUGGGCUGUUCAAAGCACAUCUGAUGCAGUUGCGCUAUUUUAUGAAACCUUGAAAGAAAGAGAGAAAAAAAAAAGGAGGUUGCCGUGGUUGGUCCUUUUGGCUUCUUUUCUUGUUCAAUGUUUUUAAAGGGCCUUAGCAAAACCAAAUCUGUUUUGCCACAUUACGGUUCUAAGCUGUUUUGCUACUGUAUUAAGAAGGUUAUGGUAGUAACCACAUUUUGAGCUAAUUUCUGACCAGUUAAAUGACGUCCCAUAUAAGCGGUUUUGACAAAAAAAAAUUGCCCUUAUCAUUACGGUUCUAAGCUUCCUUGAGAACAUGGAUGAGUUCUAAGCAUCUCUAGGCAGCUAAAUGAUAGGGACGUCAUCUAGACGGUAGUGUAAUGUAAUGAUAGGGGCAAUCUAGAGGGUUACGGUAGUUUAACGAGACAUUCCAUGAAAAAAAAUUAAUUGCCACAUCAGAUUCCCGUUAACAAAAUUUAGACGGUAGUUUAACGUCUGAGACAUUGUAUGAAAUCAAAAGGUUCACGAUCAAACUGAGAAAAAAAAAAAAAAAGUUUGCUAGCCAAAUUGCGAAUUUGGGCAAAGUUUACUAACCAAAACAGCAAAUUCGCCUUAGCCAAAGCGUCCGGACUAGAAGGUGUUUCUGCAGGUCAAGUUCUGGAUAUUAUUUCAACUGGUGACACUGACAUUAGUUUGGGUCAACUCGAACUCAUCCAUGUUCUCAAGGCAGCUAAGUUAGUCGAAGCAUCACUAGUGAUAGGGGCAAUCUUGGGAGGUGGUUUACUAUUUCAAGUUGUAGAUGAUAUCCUCGAUACUACACAGUCUUCAGAAGAAUUGGGUAAGACAUCUGGAAAAGAUGUGAUGACUGGCAAGACUACUACUUAUCCUAAACUUAUGGGUCUUGAAAAAUCUAGAGAGUUUGCUGAGAAGUUGAACACAGAAGCCAAAGAUACAACUUUCUCAUUUCGAUCCAGAGAAAGCAGCACCAUUGAUUUCUCUUGAAAAUUUCUGUGUGUAUAGACAAAAGUGAUUAUGACAAUUAUCAGGAAAAAAAGAAAAGAAAAACAUGAUAAUAGUGUAUGAAAGCUAUAUUGGUAUUAACGUUGUUGAUUUUUUUGUCAGGAGAAAAAUCAAUAAUUUGAUUAUUAAAAACCUAUGUAGUCAUGCUAUUGGGGUAUUUCAGUUUCAAUAUUAUUUAUACAUUGAUAUAUAUAACUCAUCUGUAUUAUUGAUAUAGGACGGAUCCGGGAAUCUGAGUUGGGGGGUGCAGAAUUACAUAUAACGUAUAUGCUAAGAUUCUGAGGGGUGCGAUUUCUAUAUAUCUUAGCAAAAACAUUUAUGAAUGUAUAAAAACAUAAGGAAAAUAAUGAAAAUUUUCAAUUUUGGGGGGUGCGGUCGCCCCUUGAAUCCGUCCUUAUAUGAUCUUGUUAUAUUUUAUAGAGAAAAUACAGAGGGGCCGUGAUGCAAUGUGUGCAAAUCAAAUUAGUCACCUGCUCCAAAUUGAGGCCGGAUUUUAUCAGUUGCCCAACAUUCAAAUUCUGACACAUUGAACCAGACCCACCUUAUAGCUCUGUAAGUAUCUAUUCUAUAUUUCUAUUACCAUUAUAGUAACUCGAAAACUUAGGGACACGGUAAAUAAUUUUUUUAGGAAAAGAAUAUAGUUUAAUGGCCUUGCUUUGGUUUUAUAUAUUGUUUCAGUUUUUAUUGGUAUGCCUUUUUUAGGGAGAUCACUAACUUAAUGAUACUGAUGGGGAUCAAAACCAAGACCCAACUGGAGGUUUUACCAAAUGAGCUCGGCUGGCACCUGCAGAAUUUUUUUUUUUAAUUAUUGGUUGAACCUUAUAUAUCUGCUAAGAUCCGUGCGGACAUUGUUAUGUCUUCCGUGCUGUUUGUUACACAUUUAAAAAAAAUAAAAAAUAAAAAAAAAUCAGUAGUUCAGUUGUCCUUUUCCCUCAUCUUCCUUAUUUGAAAUUUGAGAAUGCAUUUUAUAAAAAGGGGCGUUCCAGAGACUCAGGAAAUGUUUGACUCAAUUUUGACUCAAUCCUAUUUAGGGUACUUGUACAUGUUGGAUUGACAUGAUUUUUGGUAGAUAUGAUCUCCUUACUAUAAAGAUCAACUACAUAAAAAAUUAGCUCAUUUGAAUGUAUUUAGACCCAUCAAAUAUAAUAUUAAAUUCAACGGUAAAAAUGAACGUUCCAUAAUACAUUAACUUGUAAUAUGAUUUUACUAGGGUUAGAAAAUUCAGAUUAUGAUAAAUUUUGGUGAAGAUGUCGUAUACAAUGAGAACAUUCAUCCUACAAAAAAUCAUGUCAAUCCAACAUGUACAAGUACCCUAAAUAGGAUUGAGUCAAAAUUGAGUCAAACAUUUCCUGAGUCCCUGGAACCCCUCCCUUAUAAAAAUGCAUCUGAAUUCAAAUCUUGUCAACUGUGAUCUCAUUGUUCAAAUAUAAUCCUAUUAGAGUUAAGAGAUGAACCCUCCACUUCUUAAAUAAAUCAUAAACCUAAAAUUUUCUAUUUUCUUGUUCCUGGUGUGUUUCUGACAUAUUAUGUUAACAGCAGAACAUAUGUCGUUAACACAGUUUAAGCCUUAAUGCCUCACAUUAUUUUGUUGGCUUUAAGCAUAAAUCUUUGACUAUUAUCUUGAAACUUAGGAGCUAUAAAAAUAUUGGCUAAAAGCUUAUAUUUUGUAAAUUGGAAAAAAAACAACAAAGGUGUAUUCGGAACUGUAUUUGGGAAUAUAUAUUAGAAGCAUACCUGAUCCCAUUUUGCAGUUAGUAAGUACUUAAUAUAUCAAGGCCUGGUGCCUUGAGAAGUAUUCAGCUCGCCCGAGAUAGGCAUAAGUUUUGAUCACGACACUGUCCAUAAUUGGUGCAUGGCUCCCCCGUGGCUAUCAUGCCGUUAGGACACAUUUGCUCAUUUUCUUCUUCCUUAGAGUUCCAUAAUAAAGGAGAUAUUAAUAUGUUACUGUUAUGCAACAAUGUUUUUAAGGGCAUGGGUAUAAGUUAUAUCAUAUAACUAGUCUUUAAAUGUGGGCAGUUUGUUUGUAAAGUUAUAUUGCAAAACAAAAAAUUUAAUUAUGUGAGCAGUUUUUUUCUAAAUACCACAUUCAAUCAUCCUAACUAAAUCUCAUUUCCAAAUUAAAUUUGUUGUUAGUUUAUACCAAUCCAGCCCCACGACAUUCAUAACUUUACAACUCUACUCUUUGAUUUCUUACAACUACUGUUCUAUCAUUUUUUUAAUGUUUAGAAACAAAAUAUUCUAUAAAUAAGUUUUGAAUCCUUUCAUUUUCUACAAACUCAAUUUUGAGUAUCCUGGCUCUACCUUUCUUUCUUUUGGCUCUGUAAGCAAUUGGAUUAAGAAUUAUAGCACGAGAGCAUCAUGAAACAAGUGCCACACAGUUUCUUAACGAUGGAUUCAGUUACUUCUUUGUUGAACAUGUCUACAUGUAUUCAAACUUUUCCCAUGUUCAACCAUGGGCAUAGAUCGAUACCGAAGUCUUGUUUGAUGGCAAGCCUAGUUGAAAAGAGGCCUAGUUCUUAGUUAUCGUGGAAACGAAGUACCAGAAGAGUGCUUUCAAUCUCUGCAGCCCUAGGUAAAGAAGAGAUAAUUGAAAACCUCCAGAAAGAUUCCAAUUAUACCUACAAUUUUGAUUCCUACUUGUCACAGAGAGAGAUGCCCGUGAACCAAGCUCUUGACAAGGCUGUCUCACUCAAAGAACCGAAAAUACUUGAGAAAAAUGUCAAUUUGGUCCACAAAGUUUACACCCAAUUUUCAUUUUGGUCCACAAAGUUUCAAAUUGUCAAUUUGGUCCACAAACUUUCAUUUUCCUUGUCAAUUUGGUCCGCAAACAGUGACCUGAUUUGACAUAAUUUGAGACCAAAUUGACAAAGGAAAAUGAAAGUUUGUGGACCAAAUUGACAAUUUCAAACUUUGUGGACCAAAAUGGCUUUUAUUGUGUAAGUUAGUGGACCAAAAUGGCUUUUAGUCCGAAAAUACUUUAUGAACCUAUGCGACACUCUCUUCUAGCCAGAGGCAAAAGAGUCUGCCCUAUUCUUUGCAUUGCUGCCUGUGAGCUUGUUGGUGGGAAUGAAUCAACUGCGAUGCCUGCAGCAUGUGCAGUGGAGAUGAUCCACACAAUGUCGUUAAUACAUGAUGACCUUCCUUGUAUGGAUAAUGAUGAUAUGCGUCGAGGUAAACCAAGUAAUCACAAAGUAUAUGGUGAAAAUGUUGCAUUGUUAGCCGGAGAUGCACUUAUAGCGUUUGCAUUUGAGCACAUUGCAAGUGCUACAAAUGGUGUUCCGCCCGAUAAGAUUGUUCGUGUGAUUACUGAAUUAGCCAAAGCGUCCGGACCAGAAGGUGUUUCUGCAGGGCAAGUUCUGGAUAUUAUUUCAACUGGCGCCUCUGACAUUAGUUUGGGUGAACUCGAACUCAUUCAUGUUCUUAAGUCAACUAAGUUAAUCGAAGCAUCACUAGUGAUUGGGGCAAUCUUGGGAGGUGGUUCAGAUGAAGACGUUGAACAAUUGAAGAAAUUUGGGAAGUGCAUGGGCUUACUAUAUCAAGUUGUGGAUGAUAUACUUGAUAUUACACAAUCUUCAGAAGAAUUGGGUAAGACAGCUGGAAAAGAUGUGAUGACUGGCAAGACUACUUAUCCUAAACUUAUGGGUCUUGAGAAAUCAAGAGAGUUUGCUGAGGAGUUGAACACAGAAGCCAAAGAACAUCUUUCUCAUUUUGAUCCAGAGAAAGCAGCGCCAUUGAUUUCUCUUGUAAAUUUCUGUGUGUAUAGACACAAGUGAUUAUGAUAAUCACCAAAAAGAAAAAAAGGGUUAUUUCCCGAAUAAGCACCGAGUUGGUGUUCUUCCCAAAUCGUCCAUGUAUUUGAAAAGUUCAAACUAUUAUGACAAGUUUUAUAUGUGUCUGUGCAUUCAUCUAUGCUCUCAGAUGGGCCGCAAUGCGAUGUGCGCAAAUCAAAUAAGAGCAAUCAACUCCAAAUUGCCAGAUUUAAUCAGUUGUCCAUCCUAGCCCACCUGCUGUAAAUCUUGGCCUUAGGGCCUAUGCCUCAACCCUGAGACUCUGUCAUAAGUGGAUAUACCAUUAAGGUCUCUCCACUUGUAUCUCGAAAUCCAAGAUGAACUUUGUAUUAACCUAUUUCUAGAUUAAUGCACUGCUGGGUCAGGUCGCUGGGAAGACUUGACCAAAUGGGGAUGUUUGAGAUCGGGGUGGCUGCACCUCGUUGAGAUCGAGAUUGCCUACGUACUCUAGCUCGGGGGAAUUGAACUUAGAGAUCAAGCCAUCGUAGUUUUGUUUAUAUAGAAGAUAGAAGGGCGUGGAUCGUGGAUCUUGCAGAUUCUCCGCCAUCAUAAUGAGGAUUAAAUGUGUAACGCGCGAGGAUCAUCCCUGUGAAUUAAUUAUGUAACUGAUGAGAAUAUUCUGUGCAUUGAAUAGGAGCACGUGUGUAUAGUAGAUCGCUGCUCGUUGCGUAGUCGGGUCGCUUUAGUCGAGCUGCUAGCGGGUAGAUACUGUGGCGACCUGAUGGAUGGAUGAUUGUGCCACGUGGCUGCUUUUGAUUGGUCGGAGUAUGUAGUACCCCUACAUAAGCCCCCUCUUUUUAGGUCGGCUGUAGUAGUCGGGCUGAAAAGACUAAGGACUUUUAUCGAUGUUGAUUUGUGAUUUGCUUUUUGAAUGUUGCUGAUGUGGCAAUCAUGCAGCGCUGUCUAUGGUAAUCAUGGCGCUCUUACGGGGAAGUGGGGGAGUUUCCUCGAGCAGUUAGCCGUGUAGUUAUGGCAACUGACGCACGUAUUGCUAGAUUUAAUAUCUGUCUUGCACGUGGACUGAUCCAAUGGUGGAUACAGACCGUUUUGUGAGUGGAGAAUAACUGCAAUGCAUAUUGAUCCCUUGUUCGAUCUCAUCCGUUCGUUUGUUUUGAACCGAUGGCUGGAAAUGCUUGAGCUACAGUAUAUAAAUUGUAGUUACCUUGAGAAGGGUUUACCUAUCUUGCUUUUACUUUGAAUUGCUGCCGCUUUUCAGUUGCGAUCUGAAGAACUUUGAGAGUUCGUGAGGUUUGUUUUCUCUUCUUUUUGUUUCUUUGAUCUUCAGUUUUGUUUUCUUUCACCUUCUGUUUUCUUGUAUAUUGGUUGGGAGAAAUGUCUGACGCUAGUGACUCUCAAAAUGAUAAAUUGAGUGUUUGUGGUGAUGAGGAGAUUGAGUCUGAGGGUACUCGAUCUGACACUCCGUCUCCCGUUCGUGAUGAAGAGGUAGAUAGUCCUCAGAGUAGUGGUUCUCAUGGGGCAGACUCUUCUGAUGAUGAAUUGGUGGAGGGAGACGGUGGUGUAAUGUGUAGGGUUGUAAAUAUGAAUUAUGUAAAUAGGCAUAUCGUAGUUAGGAAAAUGUAUGGGUUUAGGUCGAUUAGGCAUUUGGAGAUUAGAUUUCUAGGAGAUCGUUUACUUUCCCCUGAGUAUCGACCUAAUAACCCUUUCUCAACUGUUUUCAUUUUGCCCCAAUUCCGUGCUGGGUUGAGGUUGCCAUUGUCUGGAUUGGUGGUAGACCUGUUGAAUGCCAUUAGUCGAGCCCCCUGUCAGAUGAAUGGUAAUUUCUGGCGGAAUAUGAGGGUAAUUGACGACCUCAACAAGUUGCAUAGGUGGAACAUUACAGUGAAAGAUGUACUGAACCACUUUAGCUUCAAACGCUCCUCGAAGGUUGAACUCUCGGGCUAUAACAUGCAGGUUAGGCCAGAUCGUUUGCCAUUAAUCUAUCCAGUAAGUAGCGAGCCAUGGUGGAAAGAUCCCAUGCUGCUUACUGGGUCGAUUGUUGAAGGGGAUAUCCAGUUGCGUCAUACGAUUAGGAAUGACGCUCGUAAGUUUGUUGUCUGUAGUACUAGGAUUGCUGAUUUGUUUUCCUGUUUCUGAACUUGACUUCUUUGUAUUUUUGUUGCAGCGAUCCGGGACGAUCAUUUGAUUAGAAAAAACGAUCUGAAAUCUGCUCUGAACAGCUUUGGUAAGUUGAGCGACGAGCGGAAGAUCUCGUUUCUACCCCACCUAAAGGAGCUUUUUAUUCCUAAAGGUGGUCCAAAAACUGUUUGGGAAGAGCUCGAGAGGAGGAAAGCUUUGAAGAAAGCAUAUAUGUCUGCUGUUCACAAAUCUGGUGGAGUGCGAUCUGGCAGUAGCUCGCGAGCUGAUGAAAGCGAACGGGCUAGCGGUGGCUCGAGGCAGGAGAGAGAGCGUUCUGUUGGCGCACCUCGGAGGUCGGAAAAGGGUCGACCUGUUGACAAGGAUCGUCCUCUGGUGCAGGAACGACCUGUGGAGAGAGAGCUACCUGUGGGAAGGGAGCGUUCUGCUGGUAGUUCUCGGCAGGUUGAUGCAAUGGCGAGCCCUCCAGUCUCCGGUCCUCCCGCCUCACUUCCAAAAGUAGGUGCCUUGGCUGGGAAGAAAAGGUCCUUCGCAGGGAACCUUAAGGUGAUGGAGUUCCCUGCUAUGCCAGCUCCUGUUUCUUCAAUGCCUCUGACGUCUCCUGGGAUGUCAGCUUUGUCCAGGAAGACUGCUCCUCGGCCUUUGCAGAAAGGCAAAGGUACUUUGUCUGAAUUCCGGCCCGGGCCAUUUGAUUAUUUGGAUGGUCAAGGGGAGAAACAUGUCGUUUACGAUAACGACAGUGCUAUCGAUGACCCUUGCGUUGCCCGGGCCGUGAAUGAGGGUAUCGUCCUGGACGCUGAUGCCCGAGCAGUGAAGUCACAGCCUUUGUUGGUGACCUGCUCGAAGAUAAAUGCGGCGCUGUCUUUGGUGAGUGUGAGCAUCGCAUUGGUCUUGUUUAUGCUUUGACAUUUGGCCUAAAUUUUGUUGUUGAUUGCAGCUCAAUGCCAGCUUCCAGGAGAUGCGUCUGGUUGCUGAGAUUGGUGUUCAAGUUGAAAUUGAGUUGAAGGCGCUCAACGAGAAGCUGGAGUUGGCGAAGAACAUUGCUGUCGUUGCUGAGUGCAAGGUUAAGGACAGGGAUGCCCAGGUCGCAGCUCUGCAGGAGACGGUGGAGCAGUUAAAGGAAUGUAAUGCUGCUUCACAAUCUUCUGUUGAGUACUGGCAGAGGGUAUGUCAGGAGAAUGAAGCGGCGUGGAAGACCUACUGCGACCAACUGGUGAAAGCUAUUACGGGGUCGCCCGAAGGAGAGGAGACGUGAGGUGGUGUUGAGGGUACCUUGGCGCCAGCUCAGGACGCCUCGAUGGGCCCUGAUGAUCAGGUCGUUGUAGCUCCUACUGAAGUUGAUGCUUCUGGCGACCAGUCUACGCAGCAGUAAGCUAGCCUUGGUGUCCCUUUUCUUGUAUUGGGUAACCUUGUGCAAAGUUUGCUUCUUGCACUCCUUGUUCUUGCAGUAUGUCUUCUUGCACUCCCUCUACUUGGCUGAGCGCACUUUUGAGAGCCCCCUUGUAAUUUUGAGAGCUUGAGUGGAUGAUUCUUUUUCUUUGCAUCUACCAUCAGUAGUCAGUUUGUACUUUGAUGAGCUUGUAUGAAACCCUUCUGACCAGCUAGUUUCCAGGGAGUCCUGGUAGCUCGUUCAGAAGGCAGGUAGAUGAGAUGAAUGGCUGCAAGCAGGACGUACUGAAACAGUUCCUCUUGUAUGCCUUGGUUCUAUUUUGGUUGUACCUGUAAUCGUUAAAAUCUCAUAAAGUAAAAAGUUAAUUCAACUAUUUACCUUGCAUUGUUGUUCAAGUUGUUUUGUCUGCUUGAAUGGGAUUUGCAAACAAUAAGGGGCAUUUGCUCGACCUGCUUGGGGUCGCAUUCAAUAUAGUUGUGCUUGGGUCGUGGGAAGAGAAUGACCAAUGCACCAAGUUAAGUUGAUAGUGAUUUAACUUAACAAACUUUGAAAUUAUCAAAGGGACUAGAGUUUUGAUAAUUUGUAGGUCGAGGGAUUGGACCUUUAGCAACCAUUCAUGUUUGAGCAGAGAUGAAGGCAAAAGUGAAUUUAUACAUUGGAAUACAAUGAAUAAAUGCUUACAUUUCAUUGAUAAAAUUUCUUUAAGUGAAAAGCGUUCCAUGGGUUCUUAACGAUCUCUCCUUCUGGUGUUUGAAGACGAUAAGAACCGUUGCUCUGGACCUUUGUGAUAAUGUAAGGACCUUCCCAAUUGGCGUUCAGUUUGCCAAUCAUGUCCUUUCUUUUAUUGUGGAACAUUUUCCUUAGGACUAGUUCCCCUGGCUGGAAAGUUCUUGGUCGCACGCCUUUGUUGUAAGCUCUCUUGAGUCUCUGUUGGUAUUGUUCGAGUUUUAUAGUGGCAUGGUUACGGCGUUCUUCGAGGAGGUCUACUCCGAACGACCAGGCUUGAUUGUUGAGCUCAGUGUCGACCAGAAGUGAUUUGGUUGUUCCAAAUGUUAGCUCGGUGGGAAUAACUGCCUCAACUCCGUAGCACAGGCUGAAAGGUGACAUCCCAGUGGAUGUGCGAGGGGUUGUCCUAUAGGCCCAUAGGAUGUUUUCCAGCUGUUGUGGCCAUUGAUCAUGCUGGUCUUCGAGCUUCUUCUUCAAAUUGUUUAGAAUCUGUCGAUUUGCAGCUUCGACCUGGCCGUUGGCCUGCGGGUAUCUAGGAGUUAAUCUUGAAUGCUCGAUUUUCCACAGGUCGUAGAAUUUUUUUAUAUUCUUGCCAACGAACUGAGUGCCAUUGUCUGUGACUACUCGUUUUGGUAGUCCAAACCUUAUGAUGAUGUUUUCCCACAUGAAUCUUUGGACAUCUGCUUGUGUUACGUUGGUUAGAGCGACAGCUUCUAUCCAUUUAGUGAAAUAGUCGACGGCCACUAGAACGAACCUCUUCUCAGAUUUUUUUUCUUUGAUUAGGGGCCCCAUGAUAUCGAGCCCCCACAUGUGGAAUGGCCAUGGUGCAGUGAUGUUAAUGAGAUCAUUCGGAUGUUGGUGUUGCUUAUCAGCAAAUCGCUGGCAUUCUUUGCACUUCAAAACAAAUAUCUUUGCAUCUUCCUCCAUUCUUGGCCAGAAGUAUCCCUGAGAGAUUGCUUUAUGGGCUAAGGUACGCCCACCGGAAUGGUUUCCACAUUCACCUUCAUGGAUUUCUUGAAAUAUCAUCUGGCCUUGCUUUGGAAUCAGGCAUCGUAACAAUAAUCCAGUUGCAGAUUUUCUGAAGAGUUUGCCCUCAUGGAUUUUGUACAUUGUGACUUUAUGCAGCAAUCGACUGGCUUCCUUUUUGUCGGAUGGCAGGACACCAGUUUGAAGGUAAACCAUGAAAGGCUCCAUCCAGGUCCCCUGGAUGUCUGCUGGAGUUGUUUCUAGUAGGUCGGAGAUUUGAUGAACAUCCUGUUCCUUGAAGAGAUAUGCGGGUUGUGAGUUGAUUGCUAUAGUUAGGGCCCGCGGUCUGUCUGACUCGAUCUUAAAUGCUAGAAAUGCCAAUGAAUCAGCAUGUCUGUUGUCGUCUCUAGGUAUGUGCUCAAUUGUGAAAUAAUUGAGCUUGCUGAUGAGCUCUUUUGCUUUGCUGGCAUACCUGAUUAGGUUGACCCCAUUGAUCUGGUAGUUGUUAGUGAUCUGAUUGACUACCAGUUGGGAGUCGCUGUACACCUUGAGACGAAUUGCUUGUAGCUCGACGGCCAUCUGUAGGCCCUAGAUGAGUGCUUCAUACUCGGCCUCGUUGUUGGAGGUCGAGAAGUCUAGACGAGCUGAUCUCUCGAGCUGUGAACCCUCAGGAGAGAUUAACACAGCACCUAUACCACUUCCAUUGGAAUUGUGGGAGCCAUCUACAUACAGCUGCCAUGUGUCUGGAGGAUUGUCUUGGAUUUGCCUUGUUUCAGGUUCUGGUUCCCAAUUGACAUCCUCUGCUGGAUAGUCUACUAAGAAGUCUGCGACGACCUGGCCCUUGACGGCCUGCCGUGAUACGAACUCAAAUGUGUAAUCACCCAGUUCUGCUGCCCAUCGAGCCAUACGACCUGUUUUGUUUUUCUUUUCUAGUAUGUGGCGUAAUGGCUGAUCGGUGAUUACUUUUACUGUGUGGGCUUGGAAAUAAGGUUUGAACUUGCAUGCAGCGUAAAGUAAAGCUAAUGCUAACUUCUCUAGAGGUGUGUACCUUAUUUCGGCCUGUUGUAAGACUUUGCUUGUGAAAUAGAUAGGUCGCUCGACCUGGUUCUCCUCUUUAAAGAGUACUGCGCUGAUCGCGAAAUCUGAUGUUGCGAGGUAAACGCCGAGUACAUCUCCAUCGUUAGGCCUUGUGAGAAAUGGUGGAGUAGACAGAUAUGCCUUGAGAUCAUUGAAGGCCUUCUCGCAUUCUUCUGUCCACUCAUAUGUAGCCCCCUUCUUUAGGAUAUGAAGCAUUGGUCUGCACUUAUCUGAUGCUCUUGAGAUAAACCUGUUCAGAGCUGACAUCAUGCCGUUGAGUUUUUGGAUUUGUUUUUUUGUUUUUGGGCUCUGCAUGUCGAUCAGGGCUCUGAUCUGGUCGGGAUUUGCUUCAAUGCCUCGUCUGGUGACUAGGUAGCCAAGGAAUUUUCCUGAUGCAACCCCGAACAGACACUUUUCUGGAUUAAGACGCAUUCUGUAUUGCCUUAAUCUUUGGAAUGCCUGGUCGAGAUUGUACAAAUGAUCUCGUUCUUUGUCACUCUUUACUAGCAUGUCGUCAAUGUAGACUUCCAUUGUCCAACCUAGGAGGUCGUCGAACAUUCUGGUGACCAGUCUUUGAUAGGUCGCACCUGCAUUUCUUAACCCGAAUGGCAUAACCUUGUAGCAGAAAAUACCUUGCUCUGUAGUGAAAGAGGUCUUCUCUUGGUCAGGCUCGUACAUUGGGAUCUGGUUAUACCCUGAGUAUGCGUCCAUGAAUGACAGUAGCUCGAAACCGCAUGUCUGAUCGACUAACCUAUCGAUUCGUGGCAGUGGGAAUGAAUCUUUAGGACAAGCUUUGUUCAAACUUGUAAAGUCGAUGCAAACUCUUGUUUUUCCAUUUUUCUUUAAGACUGGUACUAUGUUUGCUAGCCAGUCUGGAGUAUCGACUUCUCUGAUGAAGCCGACCUGUUUGAGUCUAUUGAUCUCUUCAUUGACAGCUUCAUGGAAUUUGGGAGCAAGUCUCCUUGGUUUCUGCUUGACAGGUCGAUAAUUGGGAUUGACCCGUAGCUUAUGGCAUGCAAUUGAUGGGUCUAUUCCGGGCAUAUCGAUAUACGACCAAGCAAAAACAUCUUUAUUAUUUGAAAGAAAAUUUACAAAGUUGACGAACUUAUCUUCUUCCAGUUCUGAACCUACAUAGACAUAUCUUGGGUCCUCAUCUGACCCAAUGUUCACCCGCACGCCUGGAUCGGUGCUUCCGAGACUAAGCUUGGGGAAAAGCUUGUGGGAGCUCGUUUGCUCCUUCUGUAAUUGCUAUUUAGCAGGUUCAUCCUUUUCUUUGGACGGGCUUUUUGACUUGUUGUUGCCCUCCUGAGCUUCUGUUGUGACUAGGCUUUUUCCUUUAUCAUCAGCAUCCUUGACUCCAGAGGUGGAUGGUUUUGACGAUGGAACAGCUUCAAUAAUGCCGUGGCAUUCCUGUGCGGUGUUCUGAUUGCCGCGGAGUUCCAUUAUCCCAUAAGGGCCGGGAUAGCGGAAUACCUGAUGGUAAGUUGACGGCACUCCUCUCAUAGCAUGGAUCCACUUUCGACCCAGAAUCACAUUGUAUUUGCUUGCGAUAUUGAGGACGCUGAACUUGCUGGUUACGACGACCUUGUCUUCCCUUCUGCCUACAGUGACGGGCAAAAGAAUCUCACCCUUAGGGUCUUCCCUUGAACUAUUGAAGCCAAGGAUGGGUGUGAAAUCUGGUAUGAGCACUGAGUCGGGCAGCCUCAUGUCCUUGAAGGUUCUAUACAUGAGAAUGUUACAUGAUGCUCCAGGGUCAAUGAAUACCCUCUUGAUAGUAUAAUCUGCAAUCCGCAGCUCGACGACAAAGGCGUCAUUGUGAGGAGUAACGACCUUGUUGAGAUCAUCCUCAUUAAACGUGAUAUCGGACUCUUGUCGGGCGGGGAUGUUAAAACGAGCUGCUCGGCCCGUAAUGGAGUAGACAUGAUGGAGAUGCUCUACUCGUCUCUUCUUAUCUCGUGAGACAGGGGUGUGGUGGGAUUCAUCGAUCAUGUAGACUACAUGACUAUCUGAUUCGCUAUCGCUGUCAACUUUGUUUGCGACCUUCUUGUUGAUGUGGUCGCGUAGGUCGCCUGUUGGACCUAAGCGUUUGGAGAGGCUACGCCCUCUGCUGCGUGUUGGGCUUGCGGAGGCCGCUCUGGCCUUGCUGUUGCCCCGCUUUGGUGAAUGAGGAGGUGUUCUGGAUCCCUUCCUCAUCUUCUUGUUUGCCGGAUCUUCCUGUCUGUCGAGGAUCCAAUUGUUGAGCCUUUUCUCAUCGGCCCAUGUUUGCAGUGCGCGUUUCAGAACGCGACAGUCAUCAGUCUGAUGACACCGUACUUUAUGGACUUUGCAGUACGGGCGACCAGAUGUAUCCUCCAAUUGUGUGAAGGCAGGAAUCUUGCACCAAUGGUUGUGCUUGAUCCUUUCAUAGAUAUAACCGGCUGGUCGCGUAAACCGGUGAUACUCUCGCUGCUCGGUAGGCAGCGACUUAGCUUUGAACCUCUUUCCGUCUGAUCGAGGUCGCUUGGUUGAGCCAGACUCAAUGUUGCUGACUACGUGGUUCUUCUCCCUCCCAGUGAGGGCUUCUUCAAGCUUUAUAUAACGAUCUACCUUUAGAUAGAGCUCGUCAAGUGAUGAAGGUCUCUUCAUUGCCAGAGACUUGUGGAGGUCGGACCCUUGGGUCAGACCGUGAGUGAAUGCGAUGGUUGCAAAGGUCUCGUGUUCCUUCGCGAAAUCCUGAAUGGAAUGUAAUUCGGAUUUAAAUCGAGCAAAAAAUGUGCUAAGAGACUCACCAUCUUGCUGCUUGACUUUGAAUAUGGAAUCGAUGGUGACAGGGCGUUUCUUGUUAUGGAUGUAAAAGAUGACAAACUGUUUCUCAAGCUCUGCGAACGAGCUGAUGGAUCCUGGCUUCAAUCGAUGAAACCAGUCGAGAGCUGGUCUGGUGAGGCUGGACUGGAACAGCAAACACAAAAGAUGAUCUUCCUUGAUCAGUGGGAGAGACUUCCGGAAUCCCUUGACGUGGUCGGUUGGAUCUCCGACUCCUGCAUACUGGUCAAACUUGGGGGCAUUCAGCUUGUUAGGCAAAUCGUGUUCUAGGAUCUCCUUAGAGAAAGGAGACUCUUGAAACUGCUGGAGUGACUGGACAGCAAGUUGCUCUGCAGUGUGACUCUUGGAACGGUGGAGAAGGGCCUGUGAUGCUUUGAACUCCGCCAGUUGUUGACUGAGUUGCUCGAAUUUCUGAUUGGAAUCGUCAGUAGGAACGAUUCCAUGUCCGCUACUUUCACCCUGCUGGGGGUUGGUUUGUGCAGCUUUGAGGCGUGCAUUUUCUUCCUGCAAAGCUGUGAUUUGAGCAUGCAGAUCAUUGAUAGUUAAUUCUGUGGUAGUCAUUUGAACAGAUGACUUUUGAUUUUGGGUGGGAGGGUUUGGGUUUUCGAUUAUAUCGAAUUCCUUGCAGUCGGCGCCAAAUGUAUUAACCUAUUUCUAGAUUAAUGCACUGCUGGGUCAGGUCGCUGGGAAGACUUGACCAAAUGGGGAUGUUUGAGAUCGGGGUGGCUGCACCUCGUUGAGAUCGAGAUUGCCUACGUACUCUAGCUCGGGGGAAUUGAACUUAGAGAUCAAGCCAUCGUAGUUCUGUUUAUAUAGAAGAUAGAAGGGCGUGGAUCGUGGAUCUUGCAGAUUCUCCGCCAUCAUAAUGAGGAUUAAAUGUGUAACGCGCGAGGAUCAUCCCUGUGAAUUAAUUAUGUAACUGAUGAGAAUAUUCUGUGCAUUGAAUAUGAGCACGUGUGUAUAGCAGAUCGCUGCUCGUUGCGUAGUCGGGUCGCUUUAGUCGAGCUGCUAGCGGGUAGAUACUGUGGCGACCUGAUGGAUGGAUGACUGUGCCACGUGGCUGCUUUUGAUUGGUCGAAGUAUGUAGUACCCCUACAAACUUCAUUUGUUUUACAAGAGAUUCACAGCGUAAGCUAGGGAAGAAAUAGAAAAUAAUACUUAGUGGGAUUUAGUUUUUGAUUUAACUUGUUUAGUUGUUUAAAUAUACAGUACAUUGCUUUCUAUAUAGAUUAAUUUCAGAUCUAGUUCAGAUUCUAUCAAAGUUAGCUUGGAACUUGAACACAAUUUGCAUUAUUUUAGUUUAAUUUCAUAAUUAAUCACCCUACUUGCACGGUUGCACCCUCAAUCCCUUGUAUAAAUACCCCCAUAUCUCUUACCUUUUAGUUUCAUCAUUCAUUCAAACACCUAGCUAUCUCAACUCUAAACUAUUUAGAAAUAUCAAGUAUGGCUUCUAAAACUCAAACCUCAGCUGCUUUUUUCCUUGCCCUCAAUCUUCUCUUCUUUUCCAUGUCAGUUAUCGCAGACCCUAUUUGCUCAAUUGAUCCACCACAGCUGAAUGUUUGUGCUGAUAUCCUUGGUAUACAACUAGCUAUUACAACUCACAGUCAUCCUUGUUGCACCCUUAUUCAUGGGCUUUCUGAUCUUGAAGCAUCUUUGUGUGUUUGCAAUGCCCUUAAAGCAAACAUAUUGGGUAUCGAUCUCACACUAAAGGUCGGCAUAGUUUUCACAACCUGUCAAAAGACUUUGCCAUCAGGUUACACAUGCAUUGUGUAAUUUGGAAGUACCAUUUCCGUAUCUGUGUGUUGCAUGGCAUCCUCUGCAAUAUGUAUCAGUUCUAUGUAUUGCUAGUUUAAUUUGCCAAUAAUGGAUGCCUACUGUCUUGUUGUUUGAUCUUUAAAUAAGACCUCUCAGUUUGUAAUAAAAGUUCAAACUAUUAUGUCAGGUACAUUAUGUUUUAUAUAUGUGUUGAUUUAUCUUCUUUUUUUUUUUUUUUUUGCCAAAAAGGUUGAACUUUAUUAAAAUGAAAAACCAAUAACAGAGCCUAAUAAGCACGCGUACUAAGAUACACUGUCAGGUAAACCUAGCAUACACAGAGACCCCUUAUAAGCCCACCCGGCCAUUCCACCAUAAACAGAAAUAAGAAACAAAGCUUGAUCAGGUGCACAGAACAUCAAACUUCCCAACCAACAUCUUGGAAGUAGGUACAAAUUUCUUGAUUGAUUCCCUUAAAACUGUCGAACUGCAGUAUCUUCAGCCUAUACCCUGAAAUCCUGAAUCACUAAUUCCCAAUCCAGUAACACGUCUAAGAACCCUCCCUUUAGAUCAUCCGUAGCCAACCAGUUCCAUAGAUAGGCCAUAGCUUUUUUCCUGACUUGGGUAUCCGACCUUCUCCUAUCCUGAAAAUACAAUCAUUUGUAGCAAUCCACACUCCGUAUGAGUCGAGUUUUACACCCUCAUUUUUGUACCCUGCAUUGGUAUUGGUAUUGCUCUCAGAGCAUCUACAAUGGCAUAGCUAAAAGUUAAGAUGCACUAAACCAGGACAAAUGGCUCAACUCUUGUAGUGUACUAAAAGUUAUGAAAAAAAAGUUUUAAGUGGUAGUGUAUUAUACACUACGACUUAACUUAUACACACUGUAUAUUUUUUUUACCGUAACGGAAGGUACAUGUGGUACCGCAAGAGGUUUAGAAUAGAAAUAAAGUACCUACGUCGCCAACGUAGCUUCUAUGUACAUCAGACUAAGAGUAAUAAAACAGAAUCCAAGCGAGUUAGAUAGAAAUAAAGUACCUACGUCGCCAAUUUCUCCUUAUAUCUACCUAGGUGAUGGUCCCUAGCUAUAAUGUAGAGAUUGAGCAUUGAGGGGAUCUAUGGAGUGUAGUACUUACAUAAUAUUCCAUCAAGAUCUCUAAGUUCUUCAUUAUAAACUACUAAUAAUACCACUUACAUUAUUACAACUUGCAUCGUAAUGUGGACAGCCAAAAGAUUUAUCAAUUUAAUUUGGACUUAAACAAAUGGUUUAUUGUGCCACAAUUCUAACAUGUUAGGCAGAGUUUAAUGGCUAGAUGAUAGAUCUGCAUGUUCUUCUCAGGUGAGAAAAUGGUGCGCUGGAAAAAAAAAAUCAUCUAAUCAGGAAUUAAAGCCACAUGGAAAAUAUUUUGCCCCAUCAGCACUAUUAAUUCUCAGUGUCGGAAUUGCAUAACUUGAUUAACUAAAAAAGAUGGUUAUAUGCACUUAGGUGCAUUUCGCAAUUGAUCCCAUUUUGCAAUUUGGUCGUACUAAGACUAUCAUGGCCUGAUGCCUUCAGAACUACUUGGCUCGCGGCCUUUGGCACAAUUUAGCUAACCUCUGCACACAUGAAACGGUUAAACUGUUAACAAGUGGUGUGUGGCUCACUGUCUCAACCAUGGAAAUCAUGCCGUUGGGACUUUUUUUUUUUUUUUUUUAGCAAAAGUUCUAUUCUAUUGCAUAUAUAAUACCGAUAAGCAGUACAAAAGCAUACCUAAUUUAGGGUCAGGCCUGGUAAACCAAACACCUGAAUUUGCACAGCUCAAAGACCUCUUAGCUAACAAGUCUGCCGACAUAUUAAUAUUAGUAUUAGCUUCUCCACACCAUGUAUAUAGAGAAAGUGACACUUUCUUAUAUUGUUAAAUUCUAUAGUUUUCUAAUAUUUGGUAACUACUACAUCCGAUUAGUUACCAUAAUUUUGGUAAGGGUAUGGAUAUAACCAUAGUCUUUAAAUGUGGGCAGUUUGUUUGGAAUGUGAGCUGCAUGCAAAUGCCCAAAAUGUUCUCAUAGAGCAUUCUAUAUACGGAGUACUAAUUAAUCCAACCACACUCAUCGGUUAUAUUUAGCAAUCCAACCGCAUUCAUAAAAUAAUCUUGUUAUAUGUUCUGUAUCUUUUCAUUUUCUUCAAACACAACUUCAAGUAUUCUAGCUCUACAUUUCUCUUCUUUUGGCUCUCUAAAAGUAAUUGAAUUAAUAAGGAUUCUGAAACGACUGCCCUCGCCCAGUUUCUCAACGAUGAAUUCGGUUACUGCUUCUUUGAACAUGUCUACAUGUGCUCAAACCAUUUCCAUGUUCAACCAUGGGCAUACACCAAUACAGAAGUCUUGUUUGAUGGAAAGCCUAGUUGAAAAGAGGCCUAGUUCCAAGUCAUCGUGGAAACGAAGUACCAAAAGAGUGCUUUCAAUCUCUGCAGCACUAAGGAAGGAAGAAGUAAUCGAAAACCUCCACAAAGGUUCCAGUUCUGCCUUCAAUUUUGAUUCUUAUUUGUCCCAGAAAGGGAAGUCUGUGAACCAAGCUCUUGACAAGGCUGUCCCACUCAAAGAACCGAAAAUAAUUCAUGAAUCUAUGCGGUACUCUCUUCUAGCCGGAGGCAAACGUAUUCGCCCUAUUCUUUGCAUUGCUGCCUGUGAGCUUGUUGGUGGAGAUGAAUCAGCUGCGAUGCCUGCAGCUUGUGCAGUGGAGAUGAUCCACACAAUGUCUUUAAUACAUGAUGACCUUCCGUGUAUGGAUAAUGAUGAUAUGCGUCGAGGUAAACCAACAAAUCACAAAGAAUUUGGUGAAAAUAUUGCAUUGUUAGCCGGAGAUGCACUUACAUCGUUUGCAUUUGAGCACAUUGCAAAUGCUACAACUGGCAUUUCGCCUUCUAAGAUUAUUCGGGUGAUUGAUGAAUUAGCCAAAGCGUCCGGAGCAGAUGGUGUUUUCGCAGGGCAAGUUGUGGAUAUUAUUUCUACUGGCGUGUCUAACAUUACUUUGGAACAACUUGAAUUGAUCCAUUCUCUGAAGACAGGUAAGUUACUUGAAGCAUCAGUAGUCAUGGGGGCAAUCUUUGGAGGUGGAUCAGAUGAAGACAUUGAACUUCUGAGGAUAUUUGCAAAGCGCAUUGGCUUACUAUUUCAAGUUGUGGAUGAUAUUCUUGACGUUACACAGUCUUCUGAAGAAUUGGGUAAGACAGCUGGAAAAGAUUUGAUGACUGACAAGACUACUUAUCCCAAACUUAUGGGUCUAGAGAAAUCAAAAGAGUUUGCCGAAAAAUUAAACAGAGAAGCUAAAGAACAACUCUCACAUUUUGAUUCAAAAAAAGCAGCGCCGUUGAUUUCUCUAGCAGAUUACAUUGCUCAUAGACAGAACUGAUUAAGAUAGUUACCAGAAAAAUAAUAAUUGUGUGUAGAAGUUAUGAAUAGUACGUGUAGUUGAUGUUGGUUACGUUGUUUUAAUUUGUUUGGUGAAGAUAUAUAUAUAAUAAUUAUGAUUAUUAAAACCGAUAUGGCUGGUUCGUCGUGAUCAAAUUAUUGUUGAAAGUAUGAUAUAUGAUUUUCAUCAUCAAAUCAAAGUUAUUGUUUAUCCUUCAGACAAUAACAAUUUGAUUAUUUCUGGAGGGAGAGGCUGCAAUAAGCAAAUCUGUUGGCCCAACAUUCAAAUAUACUACAUUGAGCCCAUUAAGUUUAAUGGGCCUAAAAUCAAACCCGGCCCAUUAAGUUUGAGCUCCAUGUUACACUGUCUCACAGUCUUACGACAACAAAAUCAUAACAAGACCCAAAAAGUCAAUGGAAUGAUCUUCAUGAUGAUGACAAUAUGAAAGAUGGAAAUUUGUUUUCCCAUUGACUUUCCCAAUUAUGCUGAAAUCAUCUUCUUUUAUCCACAGGAAAAAACUUUGCCAAAAAAACAGGAUAAGUUCUAAACCAAUUUUUUCCCAUGGUUGCACUGCACUUGCACAUCACAGUGUAUGUAUUUAAAAGAGUCCUUUCUAAGACUUUGGGUCCACUAAAAUCUAAAUGAUGAAUGCUUGGCCCAUUCCUUGCAUUUCAUCUUGGAAGGAAAUUUGUUUGAAAAUGAUGAUUGGGUUCUUUCUAAUGGUAAAACAUGAAGGAAAUGAAGAUGUGGAUUGUGGAGUAUAAAAGUAAUAGUGUUAAAAAAAAA
rnacentral:lncRNA from 1 species